rnacentral:lncRNA from 1 species
GGAGGUUCUGUCCGUUCGGCGUUUGUUCGACGCGCCCGAGCCGGACCAAAUUGGUAGCGGUCUCGGGGCGUGACAGUCACGGUUCCUAAAUCUUCAAUAGCAAUAGUAUAUAUAAGGAAACGUGUGUGCAGAGUUGGACCAGUUAUCUUGGAUGAUUAAGUAGGUUUAGCAUUUGGGGAUUAUAUUGUAUACCCAUCUUACAAGAGACUCUAGAAAAGAUGUAGGUUAUCGAAUAUACUUGCAUACUGUGAGAUACUGUGCCACCUCGAAUGGCCUGCCUGACCCUCCGCAGGCUCCUUUUCGGCAAGUGGUCAUUCAUGGUGUAGAUCAAAUUUGAUUAAAUUUUAUUUUGAAAUUAGGUUUAUAGGUUUAUGGCUUCAGCCAGACUCAAGAAUCUGCUGUUACUUACCCCACUCUUGCAUUGUUAAGGAACUUUCGAUUAAGAGACCAAAUGUAAAUACGGAUAAUAAAAGAAAUCAAAGUGUAAACACAAAAUCUUAUUAAUAUAAUUUGCUAUUUAUAUGGCUUAAGCAGGGCAUACCCGCACUGUACAUAAAUUUUGUAAAAUUAAAAUACCUAGUUUAUGGAUUUGGUGGUUGAUCGGAAUUGAAUUGCUCAGUUUAAUGACUUGGCGGUCGAUUGGAAUUAAACAGCUCAGUUUAAUGACAUGGCGGUCGGCUGAAAUUAAUUUGCUCAGUUUAACAACUUGGUGGUCAAGUUAAAAUUAGUCUGAUUUGACUUGUUCAGUUUAACGACUUAACAGUCAAGCUGAGUUAAGUUUCGCUUGAUUGGCUCAGUUUAAAGAUUUGGCGGUCAAGUUGAGAUUGGCUUGACUUGACUUGACUUGCUUAGUUUAAAGACUUGGCGGUCAAGUUGGGUUGAGUUUCAUUUGAUUUGUUCAGUUUAACGACUUGGCGGUCAAGUUGAGACAAGUUUGGUUUGAUUUGCUCAGUUUAAUGACUUGACGGUCACUUGAAAUAAGUUUGGUUUGAUUCGUUCAGUUUAAUGACUUAGCGGUCAUUGAAUUAAGUUUUAUUUAAUUUGCUCAGUUUAACGAAUUGGCAGUCAUUUGAUACUGGCUUGUGAGCUCGGCCAAUUAAUUUGAAUUCAGCUCGAUUUAAACCCUUGAUCUAUUUCAGUUCGGGUAGAGCUGGUUUACUUGAUUUGGAUCAUCCUUGAAGUUUGAUCUGAACCUUUAUUCAGGUUGGGUUCAAGUUGAAUUGGUUUGAACCUUUUGUUUUUGAUUUGGGUUGAGCUGCCUUAGGCUUUCGCUUGGUUUGUCCCUUUUGAAUUUGGUUUAGAUAGAACCAUUAUGCUUUGUUCAGGACUUGUUGAGACUUGGUUUAGUUCGAACCCUUAUGAUUUAGUUCGAGACCCUUUGAAUUUGAUUUGGGUCGAGCCCUUGUUGUUCGGCUCAACUUGGAUUCUUUUAUAGUUCAAUUUGGUUUGGAUAGAGUCCAUAUGGUUUGGUUGGAAAUCUGUUUGAGUUUGAUUUGGGUUGAGCUCUUAUGGUUCUGCUCAAUUGGGGACCCUUUUGGAUUAGGUUUGGGUUGAACACUUGUGGUUUGGUUUACGACUCCUUUGUGUUUGGUUUAAGUCAAACCAGCUUGUGGUUCAAUUUGGUUUCGUUCGGAACUCCUGUAGUUCGAUUUAGGUUGAACGGCAUUAUAAUUCGGUUCAAGUUGUACUAGGCCGGCUUGCUUCAAAUUUCUUCUGAUUCAACUCUGGUUGAACUAGCUUAUAAUUUGGUUCAGUUUGGUUAGAACCUUGGAUGGUUCAAUUUAGGUUGAACCGGUUUGUAAUACCGUUCAAAUUGGAUCCUUUAUGGUCUGGCUAGAACCUUUAGUGGUUCAGUUUAGGUUGAACCGGUUUAUAAUUUGGUUCAAAUUGAAUCCUUCAUGGUUUGGUUUAAGUUGAAUCGGCAUGUAAUCCGGUGCGGCUCGUCAUUAUGGUUUGGUUCACCAUUUAUCUCGAUUAUAUUUAUCCCAAAUUAUGUUCAUGUUGGGUUUAGUUUGAAUACAAGUGUUAGCAUGAUUGAUUUAGUUCGGCUUGGGUUGAAAACCCGCAUCAAGGUUAUGAAACAUUUAUUGAAUAAUCAGAUGUAUAAUUAAUUUAUCAUUUUAUCACACGAGAAUUGAAAUACAUUUUUGAUGGUUUGAUCAAACUUCAAAGCCUAUCAUAAGGAUGGCGAUCUCUGGUUUUAACGAACCGAAUCAAGCCUAUCACGAAGACGGUGAUCCGGUUUAAGCCAAAUUCAAAUCAAGCCUAUCACGAAGACGACGAUUUCUCGUCGCAAUCCAAAACGAAGUUGUCCUCCGCGUCGAAUUAUCCUUCAAUUAAGGUUUUAUAAGGUCAAUUUGAUUCUAAACCUCAUGAGGACAAAAGCCCCAAUUUUUAGCCCUAGGUUUCAUGAAUCCUCAAGAACACCAAUAUCCAUAAUAAAUCGUUACUUAAUCUUGUUUAGAAUCACAUGGAGAUCUCAAAUAGACUAAUUGUAAAGGGUUUAACACAAACCCUAACUUAAAUCAUGAAAUCUUACCUUAGGCCGCCAUGCUCACCAAGCUAAAUCCACCAUUGGAGAGCUCCUAGCUUCUUCUCCAAGCUAUUCCCAAGUUUAAUCUCUAAUUUCUCCUCCGACUUCUUCUCUUUGGUGGAGAGAUUACAAGAGAGGGAGAAAGUGGUGAGAGUUAGAGAGAAAGAGAGAAGACUUGCUUCCUCUCUCUCUCUCGGGUUGAACCAGGACAAAGGGGAGAGCCAUUUGUUACACACUAAGGCCCCCCCCCAACAAUUGCAACUUAUAAUUUAGUCUAGUUCAGAAUCUGAUACUUUUUGCCGAAGCCCUUCUGAAUGCCCGUUUGCGCUCAAAUUUAACAGUCAGGUUCGGUUUAAAUUAACAAGAAGAACAAAAUCUUAACUUUGCAGUUUCGAACCGUUUUUGGUCACCGAAAGCUCUACUGAUUAAAAUCUCUAGCAGAUAGCAGUCAGAUUUUAUUUUCCACUUUCCAGGUGUCGGAAUGACAUGAAACUUUAAAUAUAGUCUCAGAAAAAUAAUUCCGACAUAUUCUCAAAUUUUCAUAAUUUUUUGACACUGAAUUUUCCGCUAAAAGAUCAGCCCCGUUCUUUACAGAAAAUUCUAAAUCUUCUGUUUCUAUUCCAAUUUCAGCACAAGUCAUUUCCGACUUAUAUUUUACUUUUUUAAGUCUAAUAAAAAUAGUAUCUCACAUUAUUUUUAUUUACAUUUACUUUUAUAUUAAAAUCCGGUACACUACAGUGGCCCAUUGUUUUUGACCGGAAACGAUGACGAUAGUGGCAGUGGCGGCGAUGGCGACGGCGACUGCAAACGGGAGAACCCAUGGCCCUUUCUUUUCUUUGAUAAUGGGAUUGCGUGAGAAGGCCUUGUGGCCUUUUCCUCGAUUUCUUCGAUCGUAGCAAUGGCUACUCCAAAGCAAUGUCGGCUGCCACGACAACAACGGGGUGGUGAAUGUGCGUGAACGACAUAGGAACUAUCGUAUUGUGAGUUUGAUCUAGAGGUCAUCUUCGUAAUAGGCUCGACAGGAUCAAAAUUGACAAUAGGCCGUUACCAUUAUCAUAAGCAUGCAUUCACUAUCAUGAAGUAGUUGGGGUUCCGCUAUCAUCAACAUGUGCCCAAACGAUAUGAUGACGAUCUUUGUGUCGUGGUGAUCGAGCGACCGUCUUCGUGCUAGGCUUGACAUGAUCAAACCCGAUAUCAGAUCGUUACCCUCGUUGGACCCGUGUUCAUGUUUACUAUACCGAGCGGCCGUCUUCAUGAUAGGGUCGAUAUGGUCGAACUCCUAUUUGGACCACAAUAAUAAUAAUAAUAAAGUAAAAAAAUAAAAUAAAAUCUGAAAUAAAAUAAAUAAAUAAAAUGAAAAUAACAAAUAUUUUUCUUCUAUCGCCCUCUUCGUGAUAGGCUUGAUUCGAUUUGACUCAAACCAAAUCGUCGUCUUCGUGAUAGGCUUGGUUCGGGGUCGGCUUAAAUCAGAUUGCCGUUUUCGUGAUAGGCUUGAUCCGGUUUGUUAAAUGAAAUCGUUGUCUUCGUAAUAGGCUUGAUUUAGGUUCGGCUUAAACCUCUUCGUGAUAGGCUUGAUUUGGAUUCCGCUUAAACCGGAUUGCCAUCUUCGUGAUAGGCUUGAUUUGGGUUCAGCUUAAACCGGAUCGCCAUCUUCGUGAUAGACUUGACCUAAUUCGUUAAACCAAAUUGUCGUCUUUGUGAUAGGCUUGAUUUGGGUUUGGCUUAAGCCAAUUCGCCGUCUUCGUGAUAGGAUUUUGGGUUCGCUUAAAUCGGAUCGCCGUCUUCGUGAUAGGGUUGACCUGGUUCGUUAAACCAAAUCGCUAUCUUCGUGAUAGGCUUGAUGUGGGUUCGGCUUAAAUUGGAUCGCCGUCUUCGUGAUAGGCUUAACCUGGUUCGUUAAACCAAAUUGCGAUCUAUGGUGAUAGGCUUGAUUUCGGUUCGACUUAAACCAAAUCGCGGUCUUCAUGAUAGGCUUGACCCAAUUUGUUAAAACAAAUCACUGUCUUCGUGAUAGGCUUGAUUUGAGUUCGCUUAAACCGAAUUGCCUCAUCGUGAUAGGCUUGAUCAGAUUCAUUAAACCAAAUCGCCGUCCUCGUGAUAGGCUUGACUUGGGUUCGACUUAAAUCGGAUCGCCGUCUUCGUGAUAGGCUUGACCGGGUUUAUUAAACCAAAUCGCCGUCUACGUGAUAGGCUUGAUUUUGGUUUAGGGAUUGCUGUCUUCAUGAUAGGCUUGACUGGGUUCGUUAAAACCAGGUUGCUGUCCUAGUGAUAAGCUUGAUCAAACCAUUGGAAAUAUACUUCAAUUCUCAUGUGAUACAUCUGAUUAUUCAAUAAAUGGUUCAUAACGUUGAUGCGUUUUCAACCAAAUUGAACCAAAUCAAUCGCACUAACACUAGUAUUCAAAUCAAACCCAACAUGAAUAUAAUCCGGGAUGAAUAUAAUCGAGAUUAAUCGUAAACUGAACUGGAUUACAGCUGGUUCAGCUUAAACCGAAGCAUAAAGUAUCCAAUUUGAACCAAAUUAUAUACUGGUUCAACAUAAACUGAACCACUGAAGGUUCUAGCUGAACGGAACCAGAUUACAUGUUGAUUCAACUUAAAUUUAACCAUAAAGGAUCCAAUUUGAACUGUAUUAUAAACAGGUUCAACCUGAACUGAAGCAUCAAAGGUUCUAACCAAAUUGAAUCAAAUUACAAGCCAGUUCAACCCGAAUUGAAUCAGAAGAAAUUCGAACCAAACCAAAUCGAACCACAGGAGGUCGGGACCAAACCAAAUCGAACCACAAGCCGGUUCGACUUAACCCAAACUCAAAGGAGUCUUAAGCCAAACUGUAGGGGUUCAACCCAAACGUAAUCCAAAGGGGUUCCAAGUUGGGCCGAGCCAUAAGAGCGCAACCCAAAUCAAACUCAAACGUAUCUCGAACCAAACCAUAAGGAUUCGAUGCGAAACAAAUUGAACUAUAAAAGGGUCCAGAUUGAGCCAAACAAUAAAGGUUCAACCCAAAUCAAAUUCAAAGGGUCUCGAACUAAGUCAUAAGGGUUCAACCUAAACCAAGUCUCAACGGGUUCUGAACCAAAACAUAGCGGUUCAAUCUAAACCAAAUUCAAAAGGGACAAACCAAGCGAAAGCCUAAGGCGGCUCAACCCAAAUCAAAUACAAAAGGUUCAAACCAAUUCAACCUGAACCCAACCUAAACAAAGGUUCAUAUCAAACUUUAGGGAUGAUCCAAAUCAAGCAAACUAGCUCCACCCGAAUUGAAAUAGAUCAAGGGUUUAAAUCGAGCUAAAUUCAAAUUAAUCAGCCAAACUCAUAAGCCAGAAUCAAAUAACCACCAAUUUGUUAAACUUUUUCAAAUUACCUCCGAGUUGUUAAACUGAACAAAUCAAACCAAACCUAUUUCAAAUGAUCGUCAAGUCAUUGAACUGAGCAAAUCAAGCCAAACUUGUCUCAACUUGAUCGCCAAGUCGUAAAAUUGAACAAAUCAAAUAAAACGCAACCCAACUUGACUGCGAACUCUUUAAACUGAGCAAGUCAAGUCAAGCCAAACUCAACUUGACCUCCAAGUCUUUAAACUGAGCCAAUCAGACGAAACCCAACUUGACAAUUAAGUUGUUAAACUAAAUGAGUCAAAUCAGAGUCCUUUUAACUUGACCGUCAGUCGUUAAAUUGAGCAAAUUAAUCUCAACCGACCGUCAUGUCAUUAAACUGAGCAGUCCAAUUCCAAUCCAAUUCCAAUCGGCCACCAAGUCCAUAAACUAAAUAUUUUAAUUUUACAAAAUUUAUGUACAGUGGGGGUAUGCCCUUGCUUAAGCGAUGUACAUAGCAAAUUAUAUUAAUAAAAUUUUAUCUUUACAUUUCGGUUUCCUUUAUUAUCAGUAUUUACAUUGGUUUCUUAAUCGAGGGUUUUUUAACAUUGCGUGUGGGGGUAAUUAACAGCGGAUUCUUGAGUCUGCUGGAAAAUUUAGCCAGAUUUGAUCUAUACCAUGAAUGACUGCUCGUCGGAGAAAAGCCUGCGGCGGGUUGGGCCGUUCGUGGCGGCAUAGAAAGCAGCAAAUCAUUUACCGCUUUUAGAAAGCGGUGAAUCAUUUACUACUUUCUAAAAGUGGUAAACCAUUUAUCGCAUCAGCCUAGUUUUACAAAUAAAAGUUUUGAAUGCCAAUUCUUACAAUUAAAAAACUCUAUAGAGUCAGUCGCCCAAAAAACUCAAGUGAAUUGCUGUGAUCUUUUAGGGGCAGAAGUUUAGUUGUGCAAUUUUGGCUACUCUAACUAUAAAUCUUAGCCCUCUUUUACUAUGUUUUGAUAGCAUCUGCCCAAUUGAUUUAUCGGCCUUCAUCUGAUUUCCUAUCUUUUUGGUGGGUGGAACACAGAACUUAAUCUGGACAGAGAUAUGAUAACUGGGCGAGUGAUUGAAGAAAUGCCAGAAAUGUCUGGAUCAUAUAUUGCGUAUACAGCAGUGGCACUAGUGAUACUUACCAUUUUCAACAAUAUAAUGUUCAAUUUGUUCAUAAAGCCAACCGUCGAUGGCAAUGAACAAGUGACGAAAAUUGAAAGAAUACCUCUACGUGAACCAAAAUAGGAGCAAUUGUUGUAACUUGGAGUGAGAACUAGAUCGGUACGUACUCUGAAUCUUGACAGAAAGUACUUUCGGACUCUGCUACAUCUUAUACCAUAAUAAAUAUGUUUGGAGCAAUUGUUGUAACUUGGAGAGCAAACUAGAUCGGUAUGUACUCUGAAUCUUGCAGAAAGUACUUUCAGACUCUGCUACAUCUUAUACCAUAAUAAAUAUGUUUGUUUCUUUGACUUGUGUGUUGCAGUAGCCAGUGACUGCUGGUUUAUACAAUAGCUGUUCUUAUAGAUAUUGUAUGUGAGGUAGAUGUUGCAUUUUAAGCUUCCCGGAUCUAGUACUGUAAGGAUGAUUCUUGGGUGUACAGGGGCUGGCAUAUUAAAAAUGGUAGUUUGGGCAUAAGCAUUUUGGACCAUGAUGUUUAACGUUCUGUUUACCAAGUUUCUAACACUAUUUCGUAUUACCGACCGUUUCUAGCACAAGUGGCAAAGGGUUUAGUGGUUGGUACCCAAAGUCUCAAGUUCGAAGCCUAAUUGUUUCAUAUUUUUCAGCUAAGUUUAUUUCUAAAAAAAUAAAACAAAGCCGGUAGUAUGCUGCAACCUUUCUCUCUCUUAUAUAUAUAUAUAUAUAUAUAUAUAUAUAUCAGACAAUUCAGGCCUAUGCAGCUGUGGCAGUUUAUGUGCUGGAUCCACUGUUCGUCUGUUGCUAGCUUUCCAUUGAAUCAUUUAUGCUAGGGCUGUGAAUAUAUAAGCUUGACUUUGUUUGUCGAGAUCUCUACGGAUAUUGUGGUGUUAGGUGAGUGGUCCAAGUUGACGAUGGAAGCACAAACUCCAUGACUUAUGAGAGUAUUAAUCAAAGUAGGACAAAUUUAUGUAGAGAUAUAGGGGCCAUAUGAUUUAAUAUAGUGUAAUAUAGUGCAAUUAAAUAUGUAUGUAGAUGAAGAUGCAACAGUUAUGUUUGCAUCUAGGUGUUUUUUCUUUUCUUUUUUUUUUUUUAUAGUCGAGAAUGAUGCAACUACAUAUUUUUUGUUAGAUUGCUUGUAGUUGGAAAUUGCAUUUACAGAUUUUUCUUUAUUAUGUUAUAUGGGUGAUGGCGGGAUCACUCCUGAAGGAAGAAAAUUUGCCCUUUAGGCCACGUUUGAUUCACACCAUGAAAGAUUAUUGGGAGUAAAAAGAUAUACGAGAAUUUUAUUCCUAUUCAUCCUAUUACUAAGAACGUAAUAUUUUAGUGUUUGGUUUGUACGGGUCAUAUUAUUUAGUCAUAUUAUUUAAAAUUACGAAAAAUAUAUAAUUUAUUUAUUUAUUUAAUUUUAAAUAAUACUAUAAAAAAUUUCAACAUCUUUUUUAGAAAAAAGAGAGAGAGAAUAUAGGUUAGAAAAGGAGAGCAUAAUUAAAGAAAUAGGAAGAGAAAUAGAGUCGAGAUUAGAGAGAACGAGAGGGUUGAGAUUCUAGAAAAAGAGGGGGAGAAAUAACUUAAUUAAUUUAGAGAGAAAAAGUUGAAGUUUAGAGAGAAAAAGAUAAGUUUAGAGAGAGAUAUGAGGUUAGAGUAUAAAAAAAAAUAAUACCAACUAGCCGGCGGGUGAGAAAAAAAAAAAAAAAGACAUAUUAUAAUUACUCUAAUCCAUUAAUAUAAGGAUACCCAACCUCCCUCGAGGGAAUGAGAUUAAUACUUGGGGUUGCAUCUCAUUCCCAAGUAAAUCUAGUAUUACCAACUAGAUUACUUAAUGCGUUUAGCCAAACGCCGUCAUAUUUUUUUAUUCCUAUUGAAUUACUAGAAAUCUUAAAAAGAUAGCGCGAACCAAACGCACCCUUAGUUUUACCAUGUAAGAGGCAAGUGAAUAGAUAAGAUUAUCUCUUUGUAAAAUUAUUCUCUUCAUUUGUUGUAUUUUCAAUUGCAUCCAAUUGGAACAUAGGUUGAGAUACAUUUGAACCUUCAUCUACAAGUCUGAUAACGCUAUAUUAAUACACCUAAAACAAACCAAGCUGGAUAUGUUUGUAGUUGCACUUAGAAUGCAUGCUGAAAUGCAAAGAACCAAACACCCUCAUAAAUCGCAAUUAGGUUUCAACUGCAGGGUGAGAAGAAAGACUAUUCCUCAAUUGAAGGGUGAAAAGAAAGUACUUUUGGUCUGAUAGUUUUUCACACCUAUCCUCUGUUUGGUGUAAUAUAUUCCCCGACCUUACAAAAGAAUAGAGUUUAGCUAGAAUACUUCUGGAAGUACGGAGGUCUUCGUGCUUUCAAGAUGUUUUCGAUAGUUGGACCUCCUAAUCGUUGAUUAAUUUUGUUAGACAUGAUCCAUACUAUUGAAAACAUUUAGAAAUCAAAUUUUAUAAUUCUUUUACAUUAUUUGCUUAGUGAACAAAUAAUCUUAAUGUAAACGGCUAAAAUUAAAACUUUCAAAAGUAUAAUGAUAGAAAUUUAAAUUUUAGAUCAGAAGUAUUUACCAUGUUCUAGAUAGUGCAAAAAAUUUUCUAUCAAAUUUUUAUUUGGUUUGGAUUGCUCUAUACUGUUGAAUUUAUAAACAUGUCGGCCAUUAAAAUUUACAGUUUUGAGACUUUUUAUUUACUGGGCAAAUGAAGUCAUAAGUUUUAACUUGGUUUCUAUAUACUUUAAAGAAUGUAGAUCAUGUCUAGUUGAGCCAAUCGUCGAUUCGGAUGUUUUAUUAUUGAAAAUAACUUGAAAGUAUAGAAGCCUCCGUAUUUUCAAAAGUAUUCGAGUUGCACUCAGGAAAACAAUAGAAACUGAAGUUUUUAACGAAAUUUUUAGAAAACUUGGGGCAUUUAUGUGUUAUUAGACCAUUUUUAAUAAAACAAAAUUCCCAUCUUCGAGGUCUGACAAUGAUGAAAGUUGUGAGAGGGUCUUUUCUGCGAUUUCGUAUGAUAAAAACAGUGUUUGAAGAUAAAAUUGGUGAGAAAGCAACAGAUAAAAAAGGGUUUUUACGCUAAAAGUGUGAUAUUUUACGUGUCAAAUUAAGAGAAUUUUCAAAUGGGGCCGUGGAGGUGCUAUUGUGCAAACUACACGUCGGGGAAUUUUUGAGUAAGAAUAUCAAAAGUAGACGGGCUAAAUCACAAUUGUCACAAAAUUGAGUCUAGAAACCAUAGGGUGUGUUUGGUUCCCUGUAAAAGCUACCGAAAAAAAAAAAAAAAAAAAAGGGACUGAGAAAAUCAUUUUCCUAGUGUCUGGUUUGAUGUAAAAAAAUAUUUUUUGAAAAAAAUUAUUUUACGGAUACUAAAGAAAAGCAAGCGUUCGGUUGCCACCAGUGGAAAACGGAAACUCACCAUGAAAAAUCGCGGCCCAGGCUUGUUCCUUGCAUCGCGGUCCUCUCUCUCUCUCUCUCUCUCUCUCUCUCUCUAUAUAUAUAUAUAUAUAUAGAGCAAGACUGUUGUACUCUUAGGAGUACGGAGGUUUCUGUACUCCUGAGCCGUUUUCAAUGAUAAAAUUUCGAAUUGACAAUCGGCUCCGUCAGGCUUAAUCUAACAUAUUUGAAAUUUCUAAAAAAUAAUUUUUACGAUUUUUUUAUAUUAUUUACCUAACAAUUAAAGGGAUUUAACAUCAUCGGCUGAAAAUAAAAAUCCUAUAAAAAGUGGUGAUAUAGCACUAAAAUUUUCGAUUAGAGAUAUUGAUCCUGUUGUAGAUAGUAUAAAAAAUUUUGUAUCAAAAUUUUAUUCAAUAUGUAUAUUUUUACACCGUUAAACUUGAAAACGGCGUACAUCAACCAUUAAAAAUUAUUGAUUUUGAACCAUUUCGAUCACUAGGUAAAUAAUAUCCAAAAUCGUAAAAAUUAUUUUAUAAAAACUUCAAAUAUGCUAGAUUAAGUCUAACGGAGCCGAUCGUCGAUUCGAAAAUUCUAUUAUCGAAAACGGCUCAGGAGUACAGAGGCUUCCAUGCUCCUAAGAGCACAACAGUGCUUUUAUAUAUAUAUAUAUAUAUAUAUAUAUAUAUAUGAGUCCGGCUACUAUACUAUCGAUAGUACCAAGCCCUUGGUACUAUUGAUUAUUCUAUCGUUAGAUCUACCCUUUGAUCAUUUCCACCCAUUAGAUUAUAUUAUUAAACCAACCACCCACUCAACCCUAGAGGACCACUAUCAUCCUAACUGCACAUCUAUUCAUCCAACGGCCGAAAAGUCAAUAGUACCAAGGGCUUGGUACUAUUGAUAGUAUAGUAGCAUAUAUAUAUGUAUAUAUAGUCCAGCUAUGGUGCUUGUAAAAGCACCAAGCACUCGGUGCUUGUAAAUUUUUUACCGUUAGAUUACUCCACGUAUCAUUUUCAACCAUUAGAUUAUACUAUUCAACCAACCACCCACUCAACCCUAAGUGGCCCACAUCAUCCUAAUCGCAUAUUUCUUAAUCCAAUGGCUAAAAAUCUACAAGCACCAAUGUCUUGAUACUUUUAAAAGUAUAGGAGCUCAAUUAUAUAUAUAUAUAUAUAUAUAUAUAUAUAAUUUAGCUACUUUUAGAAGUAUUAUCCACUUGGUGCUUCUAGGUUUUAGCCUUUGAAUCCACUCCUUGAUUACUAAUAGCCCUUAGAUCAAACACUAUUCCACCUAUCCCCACCUACCACCAUUAUUCCAACCUUACAUUAAGGGUUAAAAACUCAAAGCACCAACCUCUUGGUGCUUGUUGGUGCUUUCGAGAGUAUUCUGGCUAGCUCAACUAUAUAUCAUUUGCUUAGUGAACGAAGGGGCUCAAAAUCAACGGCUGAAAAUAAAAAUCUUACAAAAUAUAAUAAUAUGACAUUAAAAUUUUAAAUCAAAGAUAUUGAUCUUGUUUUAUAUAGUAUAAAGAAUUUUCUAUCAAAAUUUCACGUGAUUUGGAUAUUUCUACACCGUUAAACUUGCAAACGGCUCACUACGGCCAUUGAAAUUUGUUGAUUUUGAGCCCAUUCGAUCACUAGGCAAAUGAUAUCGAAAAAUAAUAAAAUUUAUUUUCUAGGUACUCCAAAUACUCUAGAUCAAGUUUAACGGAGCCGAUCGACGAUUCGAAAGUCNNNNNNNNNNNCGCCACCGGCUGCUGCCCGCCGCCGGCCAGCACCUCCCCCGGACUUCUCCGACCGGCUGCUCCCAUCUCCGGCCGGAGCGCCCGCCGCCCGAUAGCCGGCGGCCAUCCCUAGCUCCCACUGCUCCGGUGAGUAGCCAUUUAUGGUUCCAGCACUACAGUUUUGUGUUCCGAUCACUUUUCCGGUGAUCCGAUGACUCCCUGGCACCUCGGGAGGUGAGCACGAUGAUCGUGGGUUCGUGCUGAACACGAUGCUCACCUCCAUUUAGGUUAACGGUGCCCUGGUUAGUGAGUAAUGUGCUCGCUGGUUCGCUGUUGUUCGCGUCGCUCGUGAGCGCGUAGUUGCUGCCGGAAGUGCUCCGAAAGGUGAGCACGGCCCCAGGCAUGCUGAAACCUAGCAGCAAGUGUGAUGGCACCCUCCGUAGAUCCCUGGUUUGCUGGUACGACCCGUUGGAGCCAUGAAAUCAUUUAAAAUAAUGUGAUUUCAUGGGCCAUUAGGGAUCCUUUUGCGUUUCGCUUCGUCGUGGCUGCUGUUGGCAGCAGGUCAAGGCUUAAGAUAACCUCUGGACUGAUCGUCCAAGGCCCCAAGCCCUUGCGGAAAUCUAACUGUCAUUUCCGGAGCGUUUUUCGGCGAAAUCCGCCUAUAGAACGCGUGUUCGACCCGGAAUUCAUCCGACGGUGCCUCAUGGUUGAUUGUUGCGUCGCUGAGCCUUGUUGGCUGGUCACCCGUGUCGUCUCGAGGGUUCAGAAACGACGGGUGAGCGACGGUGGAGUUCCGGGACGGUUUCCGGGACUUCCGGCUGGUUCGGAAGUUGCGUUUGAGAAACCGAUUUCCGAGGGGUUAUGAUUUUGGGAUUUGUGUGAGAAUGGUCGUGUUAUUGUGUUUGUGGGUUAGACUCUAACCCGGUGGACCCUUCGUAGGUCCGGUCGCUUCGUCUCCGCCUUCGCGAGACCGUUUCAGNNNNNNNNNNNNNNNNNNNNNNNNNNNNNNNNNNNNNNNNNNNNNNNNNNNNNNNNNNNNNNNNNNNNNNNNNNNNNNNNNNNNNNNNNNNNNNNNNNNNNNNNNNNNNNNNNNNNNNNNNNNNNNNNNNNNNNNNNNNNNNNNNNNNNNNNNNNNNNNNNNNNNNNNNNNNNNNNNNNNNNNNNNNNNNNNNNNNNNNNNNNNNNNNNNNNNNNNNNNNNNNNNNNNNNNNNNNNNNNNNNNNNNNNNNNNNNNNNNNNNNNNNNNNNNNNNNNNNNNNNNNNNNNNNNNNNNNNNNNNNNNNNNNNNNNNNNNNNNNNNNNNNNNNNNNNNNNNNNNNNNNNNNNNNNNNNNNNNNNNNNNNNNNNNNNNNNNNNNNNNNNNNNNNNNNNNNNNNNNNNNNNNNNNNNNNNNNNNNNNNNNNNNNNNNNNNNNNNNNNNNNNNNNNNNNNNNNNNNNNNNNNNNNNNNNNNNNNNNNNNNNNNNNNNNNNNNNNNNNNNNNNNNNNNNNNNNNNNNNNNNNNNNNNNNNNNNNNNNNNNNNNNNNNNNNNNNNNNNNNNNNNNNNNNNNNNNNNNNNNNNNNNNNNNNNNNNNNNNNNNNNNNNNNNNNNNNNNNNNNNNNNNNNNNNNNNNNNNNNNNNNNNNNNNNNNNNNNNNNNNNNNNNNNNNNNNNNNNNNNNNNNNNNNNNNNNNNNNNNNNNNNNNNNNNNNNNNNNNNNNNNNNNNNNNNNNNNNNNNNNNNNNNNNNNNNNNNNNNNNNNNNNNNNNNNNNNNNNNNNNNNNNNNNNNNNNNNNNNNNNNNNNNNNNNNNNNNNNNNNNNNNNNNNNNNNNNNNNNNNNNNNNNNNNNNNNNNNNNNNNNNNNNNNNNNNNNNNNNNNNNNNNNNNNNNNNNNNNNNNNNNNNNNNNNNNNNNNNNNNNNNNNNNNNNNNNNNNNNNNNNNNNNNNNNNNNNNNNNNNNNNNNNNNNNNNNNNNNNNNNNNNNNNNNNNNNNNNNNNNNNNNNNNNNNNNNNNNNNNNNNNNNNNNNNNNNNNNNNNNNNNNNNNNNNNNNNNNNNNNNNNNNNNNNNNNNNNNNNNNNNNNNNNNNNNNNNNNNNNNNNNNNNNNNNNNNNNNNNNNNNNNNNNNNNNNNNNNNNNNNNNNNNNNNNNNNNNNNNNNNNNNNNNNNNNNNNNNNNNNNNNNNNNNNNNNNNNNNNNNNNNNNNNNNNNNNNNNNNNNNNNNNNNNNNNNNNNNNNNNNNNNNNNNNNNNNNNNNNNNNNNNNNNNNNNNNNNNNNNNNNNNNNNNNNNNNNNNNNNNNNNNNNNNNNNNNNNNNNNNNNNNNNNNNNNNNNNNNNNNNNNNNNNNNNNNNNNNNNNNNNNNNNNNNNNNNNNNNNNNNNNNNNNNNNNNNNNNNNNNNNNNNNNNNNNNNNNNNNNNNNNNNNNNNNNNNNNNNNNNNNNNNNNNNNNNNNNNNNNNNNNNNNNNNNNNNNNNNNNNNNNNNNNNNNNNNNNNNNNNNNNNNNNNNNNNNNNNNNNNNNNNNNNNNNNNNNNNNNNNNNNNNNNNNNNNNNNNNNNNNNNNNNNNNNNNNNNNNNNNNNNNNNNNNNNNNNNNNNNNNNNNNNNNNNNNNNNNNNNNNNNNNNNNNNNNNNNNNNNNNNNNNNNNNNNNNNNNNNNNNNNNNNNNNNNNNNNNNNNNNNNNNNNNNNNNNNNNNNNNNNNNNNNNNNNNNNNNNNNNNNNNNNNNNNNNNNNNNNNNNNNNNNNNNNNNNNNNNNNNNNNNNNNNNNNNNNNNNNNNNNNNNNNNNNNNNNNNNNNNNNNNNNNNNNNNNNNNNNNNNNNNNNNNNNNNNNNNNNNNNNNNNNNNNNNNNNNNNNNNNNNNNNNNNNNNNNNNNNNNNNNNNNNNNNNNNNNNNNNNNNNNNNNNNNNNNNNNNNNNNNNNNNNNNNNNNNNNNNNNNNNNNNUGAAUGCAACAACCUAAUAGCCUCACGAGAUUUCGAUGUUGAAGUUUUGCUAUAAGUUGAAUCUCAUUCUUGAAUUCCACUAGACCUUGGCCUGAAUGGGCGGAGAGUCUCUUUACUGCUAUCUCAAGCUCAUCCGAUAAUUGGCCCUGUUAUAUGGCAUAGUACGUGCCCAGGUUUUCAAAAUGAAAAAAAAAAUGAACUAAUUUUUUUUCUUCAUCCUAUUUAAGAAAAAGAUAAAUAUAUACUCCUCCAAAGCUGCAGUUAAUAGAAGAAUAUAUAUAUAUAUAUAUAUAUAUAUAUAUAUAUAUAUAUAUAUAUAUAUAUAUUAGGCUGGGGCUACUAUACUCUUAUGAGUAUAUAUAUAUAUAUAUAUAUAUAUAUUAGGCUGGGGCUACUAUACUCUUAUGAGUAUAGACCCUCUUGUACUCAUAAAUUUUUAACCGUUGAUUGAUGGGAUGUGUGGUUAAGAUGAUAGUGGUCGCUACUUAGAAUGGUAGUGGUCCCAUGGGGUUGAGUGGGUAGUUGGUUGAAUAGUAUGAUCUAACGGGUAGAAAUGAUCAAUGGAAUAAAUCUAAGAGCCGAAAAUUAUGAGUAUAAGAGAGCCAAUACUUACAAAAGCAUAGUAGCCGGACUCUAUAUAUGUAUUUAUAUAUAUGAGAGGCUAAUUAUUAUAUAUAUAGAGAGAGCUAGGCUGGAAUACUAGUGAUAGCAAAAUGUCCUUUUUGCUAUCAAGUUUUUAACCCUUGGAUGAGAAAUUGUAGGGUUACGAUGAUAUUAGUCCCAUAGGGUUGAGUGGUCCCUACUGGGUUAUAAUAUUUAAUCCAAUGUUUAGAAAUGAUGAAAGGAAUUGAUCCAAAGGCUAAAAACUUGAUAGCAAAAAAAGCUUUUUGCUAUCUCUCUCUCUCUCUCUCUCUCUCUCUCUCUCUCUCUCUCUAUAUAUAUAUAUAUAUAUAUAUAUAUAUAUAUAGAGAGCGACUACUAUACUCUUAUGAGUACGAUCUCUCUCGUACUUAUAAGUCGUUUUCGAUGAUAGAGUUUCUGAAUCAACGAUCCAUACCGUUAAACGUUAUUUAGAGUAUUUAAAACUUUUAGAAAUCAAAUUUCAUAAUUUUUCUACAUCAUUUAUCUUACGAUCAAAAGGUCACAAAAUUGACAAUUUUUAACAAACGAUAUAUGAUACUUGCUAGUUUAACGGUGUAAAAGAAUCGGAAUCAGUUGAAUUUUUGAUAGAAAAUUCUAUUCACUACCUAAAAAAGAUCAAUAACUCCGAUCUUAAGUUGAAGGAUCCGAUCAUCCAUUUUUAGGACAUCAUUCGAUUUUGACCGUUCAUUUUAUGCCCGCUUGAUGGACUUUAUUAUGAUUUCAAAAAAUUACGAAAUUUAUUUUCUAGAAGUUUCAAAUAGUUUAGAUCAUAUUUAAUAGAGUGGAUCAUCGAUUCGGAAUCUCCAUCAUCUAAAACAACUUAUGAGUACGAAGGUCUCUAUACUCAUAAGAGUAUAGUAGUCCUACUAUAUAUAUAUAUAUCUGUAGGUAGUAUAUUGAACUUUAGCAAAUUGCAAGGUUCUAGUGUGGGAAUAGUAUUUUGAACUAUUCUGGAUGUUUUGAGGGUUGUUCGUAGAGUAUCGACUCGUUUCUAGUGCUUUUAGGAGCAAAGAAAGGUUCCUGAUAUCAAAAUUUGCAAACUGCAGAUUUUAAAGUUGAGUAUCGGUACUAAAGUGUGGGACUAGAACCUUAUAGAGUGCCAAAAUAAGUAGCUCUCGGGUUUUAAGAAACUAGGUUGCGGGCACCGGUACUGAGCUGAGUACCGGUACUACAUCGGGCUUGUAUCGGACGCAGUAUAAACCCAAAUUCCUAAUGUGAGGACUGAGAAUUUUGCUGUAUAGCUAAAUUUUUUGUUGACGAUAUUUUUGUGUGUAAUUCAAGUACAUAAGCAAUCGUCAAGUUUUAGGAGAAAACGAGUUAGGAUGGAGAAGUUACGCGAUCUUUACUAAUCACUUAAAGUGAAUAGUAACACGGGUUUUUCGGAGAGGCCAAUGAGUAGUGAUGGCUUUUGGUGAGUAUCGGACUCCUUUCUUAGUGAUCCAAUAACUCAUUUUUAACUGUCUGACUGUCCUGGACCUAAUGGCACUGACGGAUUUUAGUUUUGACAUACGAUUUUCGAGAAAAAGGAAUUUUAUCGCAAAAUGGGUUUUUGGUUCUUUAUCGUUUUCACUUUUAUAACUUCUCGUGCUUCGUGCGUGUCACGACCCGACACCGCCAAUUUGGACAGUUCGGGCCCUAAACAGACCCGCUGAACGGACAGAGUUUUUCCUGUCCGCCCGAAGCGUAAACAAAGUCUAUGCAUACAUACAUCCAAACAAGAGAUGUUAGCAACAAAACAUUUGCAAGGGAUAUACACAGAUGCGAGAGAAAUAAAGCUAUCUAUUAUAUCACAUAUUCAUAUAUGAACCAUUUGCACAUUUCACUUUAAUUCUCAAUCAUACAACCAAAAUGUCAUCUCACAUAUAUAAACCACUUCCCAAAAAGGGUUUUACAUCUUUUUACAAAGGGUUUUACAUGUCUUUUUUUCUUUCCAUACAUGAGGGUAGUUAGCUAAUGCCGAUAGUCCACUCUAUCUAAGGCUCUAUGCCCUUGCCGCGAUCCUUGACGUGCGCGCUAGUGCUAGGCUCUGCAAAACAGGGUGUGAGAACUAAACAAAGUUCCCAGUGGGUUCGGCGGCCGACCCCGCCGAUUUUUCCACUAGGUCUAAGAAAGGCAUAGAAACAAUAGAUAGAUCACAUGUCAAAGGAAUGAUAGAUAUAACAAGAAGCCUACCCUGCUCAUAUACAUUUAUAUCAUGCUCAAAUGUGUAACUAUGCCUUUACCAAUCAUGUCAACAAGUAUAAGUUCUACCAUGUAUGCAAACUAUAUAUGUAAUGCCAUGACCAUGCCUUGUGCUAAAUCCAAUCGAUUCGCCCAAAGGUCAAACCACUCGCCAUACACACUGUCACAAGACCGUGACGUCUGCCGGGAGGGGCCCCCCGUUUCUCAAUCGCAAAGUGAUACAACUUCGGAGCUCACUGCUUGGGAGGCGCGACCAUCCACAAGCUAUAACAGACAACACGAGUAUAAUCAUAGUCCUCCUGCCCGAGGACCGCGUGAAUCCCACAUCCAAAUCCAUCACAAGGCAUGCUAUGCUCAAAUCGGCCACAUAUGCAAUGGUUUUCAAUUCUCACAAUUUCAUUGGUUCACAUACUAGUUCCUCAUAAAUCUAGUCUACUCUCACAUCAUAUCCACCACAUGCAUAUGUCCACUAGCAACUCAUGCUAUAUGUAUACAUACAUCUAUAUUGGCAUCAUAGAAAGGUUCUCAUGCAACAUACAUGUCCACAUCUAUCUCAACAUCAUGCAAUAGAUAUUCCUACAAGUAUCAUGCAAUCAUGGAUCAUCAUUCCUCACACUAAGCAUGAAAUUACCACAACUUAUAGGAUUCUCACAAUUCCAUACAUGAUGAUAUAUGAUCAAUAAUAGUAGAACUUAGACAUAGAAUGAAACUCGGCUAUUUCAGAUAGCACCCCCCACCUUGUGAUGUUGAUAGGUAGCCUAGCAGCGCGAUUUAUGGCUGUCCAUUUCUUUCGACUGUGGCAAACGAAACAAAACUAGGAUUUUCUUCACUUUGACCACCACCGGCUCAACGGAUUCUCAAUCCGAGCGAUCCUUCGCGUCGGUUUUACCUUCAAUUGCGGAAACAUAGGAUCAAUUGAGAUCGAAACCCCUCAUGAUUAAAAACCCUCUUUUGAAACCCAAAAAACCCUCUUAUUACAUCAAAUCCAAACCUCAUGGUAAGUUAUGCAAUAACAUGGUUUAGAAUCAUCAAGGGUUUCUACUAAACCCAUUCUAAGGGAUUUAUACAAAAACUCUAACUGAAAAUCUCAAAUCUCAUAAAACUCACCUCAAACCCAAGCUCUCCACAAGCCAAUAGUGAAGAGGAAGGAAACUUCACCUCUAAGCAAGCUUCUCUCCAUCAAACUCCACCUUUUGGAGCAAACCUUGGUGAGAGAGAGGGAGAGAGAGGUUUAAAGAGAGAAAGAGAACUCUCUUAUGUUGGUUCAAAUGGAAGGGAAAUGAGAGAAAUGGAGUAAAACCGAUCCAUAUACACUCUCAAUGCACAAAUGCACAUAGCCCCUCACACAAAUAACACUUUGCACCAACUUCACGUUUUCCCAUGUAUGGGGUCCGGACCCUACAUGCAGGGUCCGGAUGUCACGCCCCGGGGUACCCUUUUAGUUUGAAACACAGCAGAAAAGCGUUUAAAUUUUUUUUUUGAAAACCUGACCCCAGAGUAUGCCAGAUUCGCCACAAAUACAGGGAAUCCACUGUUCACACGGACAGAGUCUCCCCUGUAUUUGCACGGCGUCGCACAAGUACAAAAGUACAAACAGUAUACAACCACAACUAAAUGAAUAUGCAGAUAGCUAUACAUUCAUACAUUCACCAUUCACAUCGUAGUUUUACAUUCGUGUUUUAAACAAAAGUCACGAAAAUCUUUUGAAAACUGUUCAUACGCGAAAAUUUUAUCUUUUAUAAAAGCUACCACAGGCGUAGAAAACUUUUAUUUUACCACAAUCCAGAAAUCCUUUUAUUACAUUACUGAAAGUCCCAUAUUCCAAUGUAAUAAAAAUACUGAACCAUAUAACUGACUAAGCUAUACAACAGAAUAGUAGGGAUAAAAAUAACCGAUAACUGGUCGGAAGCUCUAAUCGACCGCUCGAACGUACCUCACGUCUCGUCCCAAAACUCAACGCCUGCAAUACCUGAAAAAUGAUAGGGGAGGUGAGAACAUGUAAACAUGUCUCCACCUCCAGUGGGUACCGCUAGCGACGAGGGCGAGAGUACUCACGCGAUCAGGAAGAUAACAAUAGUAUAUGGGUAAGUGAAAUACAGUAGCAACCGAUAAUGACGACAUGAGAUAUAGAUAUGAGAGAACAACUACGCUACUGUUAAUAGAACGAAAAGCAUACAUACAGGGAUAUCAAACUAUAGUAGCAAGACAAGUGUAAAGAAGGAAUACGCAAGUAUACAUGAACAACCGUACUAUAAUAUAUGCGUCAACCGCGACAAGUAGUCCAAAAGUACCAAUCUAAACCGCGUGUCGGUCUAAGGACCUCAGGCAAAAGCACUACUGCUCACACCUGCAUGUAACCCUAGCACGAGAGAACACCGCUGGGCUCACGGGUUCGGAUGUACGACCACUUUUCGGAAAAGAACACCUCUCUCGGGGGAUCAACCGUGGUGUACGUGAAAUGCACUCGAACUGUGGCGAAUCACAUGGAUAUCGAUCUCUUUNNNNNNNNNNNNNNNNNNNNNNNNNNNNNNNNNNNNNNNNNNNNNNNNNNNNNNNNNNNNNNNNNNNNNNNNNNNNNNNNNNNNNNNNNNNNNNNNNNNNGGACGAGCCGGAUUGGGAAACUUUUGUUCCUGAGGUAUUGGCUAAGGAUAAGGAUACUGCGAAAGGCAAAGGAAAAGAAAAAGCCGUGGAAAAAGGCAAAGGAAAGGCGACUGAGCGUCCCGGCCGUCGUAAGUCCGGGGGUGUUGAUAUUCGAGAACCGGGCUCUGAGCCACCACGUCACAGUCUUCAGGAUGUUCCAUCUAAUCGACGGUCAAUGUACUCGUCGAAACACUGCAUUGGUGAACGGGAUGUUGGGGUGGCCAGUAUCAUUAGUUGUGUGCCGGGUUUUCAGGAUUUAUUUGAGCGGGGAAAUCUUCAUCAGAUUUGUGAUUUCCCGGAGCAAACUGGUUAUUGUUUAGAGUUGAUCAGAGAAUUUUACAUGAGAGCCGGUCAUCUCAGUGACUCCGACGGCGGUCCGUACGUAUUUAAAACUUCCGUACGUGGUGUUGAGUUGUCUAUUACUCCUGAGACAAUAGCUUCGGUGCUAGAGAUGGAGGCAAGGACUGACGGAGUGGAGUAUCUGCAGGCCGGGUUCGACUCACUUCGCGAUUGAAACCGUGUCGUGAACACUAUCUGUAUGCCGGGUACUGAAUCAAACGGCAUUAUGGUUAUGUCAAAGGAUUUCAAAAUGGAGUACAGGUUUCUGAACUUCGUGGUUUGCUAUAAUAUCAUGCCUCUCGCGAACACGAAAAUCGUGAGAUGGGAUCGCAUUCUGUACAUGUAUCUCUUGGGUAGGCCGGAUAUUGUAAGUGCCAAAAAUAUUAACAUGAAUAUUCCGUUUCUGAUUUGGCGGAGAAUGGCAAAAGAUAUCAAGACUUCCGAACAAAAUGAGAGAUUACCAUUUCCUUUGAUAAUUAUGAGGAUUUUGCGACUUCGUGAGGUGGAUGUUCGGUGUACAUCAUACGAGCACAGUUUGGGUCGGAUAAAUGAAAGGACGUUUGUAAAGUCCUCGGUGCAGCUUCGUACGCCGUCUCAGCGUGCUUCUUCCCCUCCUGCAGCUCCACCUCCUGCUACUGCUACUUCUUCUCGUCCUUCUAUGGACAUUUCUGAGGAAGAUAUUUCCGUUUCAUCGGUGUAUCGCGAGCAGCAGCGUCUAUCUGAGGAGCUUCAGAAGUUGUCUGCCGAACAAGCUGCGAUUCGUAAGGAUGUGAGCAAGAUGAAGCGCUUGUUAAAUAUGAUUUUUGACAAAUUAGGAUGUUGUCGGGCAGAUUUACCUCCAGGAGAUGAUUCUGACUAGGAGCUGGCGGGUUUCUCCUUUUGUCAUUUUGGCGCUUUCUGACAAAAAGGGGGAGAUGACGAUAUGAGGGUGAUGAUCAUGAUGAUGAUGAUGAUGCAUGAUGGUCAUGAUGAUGAUGAUGAUGCAUGAUGGUCAUGAUGAUGAUGAUGAUGCACAAUUGUUUUUUGAUCUUGAUGAUGUAUUAGAUGAACUGUGUUAGAUGAACUGUGUUUGACAAACUUUGUUUGACUUAGUGCUUUAGGUUGAUAAGUUAGGCUGUGACUAUGAACUAUGUAUUAUGUCUUGAUAGUUUUCCUAUGGUUUAUUACUUGAAUUUGAAUCUUGCCUGAUUAUGUUUUGAGAAUGUUUUUGCAGGAAUAAUUCAAGACUUCAAGACUCCAUGUCUAAGUCAUAGAGUUUGUAUUAAGGGUGUACGAGUGUAAUUUAUUUUUGGAUUGAUCAUGCAGGAGAUUAUCGUUUGGUGAUUGCGAUGAUCUUCUUUUUAUGAUUUAUUAGUUGUAUACAAGCUUUGUAGUAUAUUUUGUCACGAAAUCGCCAAAGGGGGAGAUUGUUAAGGAUUUUAUAGGUUGGCGAAUUUCGUAAGGUUGUUUGGAGUCUUGAAGAAUUGAUCGCAGAAGUUUUUGAGAAUAGAUUCAAAUUGGAGAACGAAGACUCAUUCGGAAAGCUCGACACCUAAGGUAUGAAGAAAAGGUUAUUUGUGGUGAAGAGAUAUAAUUAGGAUAAGUUCAGAAGGCUUAGAUUGCAUUAAAAUAUUUUUUCUGAAUUUUCAUGUGUUCUGGGACUGGUCUCUGAGAUUGAGAGACCGGUUCCCUUAAGGUCCUCACUGCGUAAACUGUGAUGCAACCGGUCCCCUGUGAUGAGAGACCGGUUCCCGAACCAUGGUGCUUCUGUCGCGCAGCGAGGGACCGGUCUCGAAGUUUGAGAGAUCGCCGCUUCCCGAACGUUGGGUUUUGGUCACGCCAGAGGAGCGGACCGAGAUUCCUCACUGGAGAGGGGGGGGGGGACCGCGUCUCUCCCAGACCCGGUCUCCUCUAGAAACCGGUCUCUGAGGACGACACAGGUUUUUAAAAAACGACUUUUUGCAAUUCCUAGUCUACUUCUAAGUCUUCUAAACAUAUAAAUAAGCUAUGUGGUCAUCUAAAAUUAAGGCUUUGAAUAUUUACCAAUAAACCCUAGAAACUUAAUUCUCUCCGCGUUCAAUGCUUAGAUGAGUUUCUAGCGAUUGACAUCGGUCUGAUUCUUCGUUGUUACUUCAAAUAAUUCUUACGAGAAUCAAGUAAUGUUUGAUAAAAGGUGAACUCCCCAUAGCUUAUGGUUUUCAAAGUUAAAUCACCACAAAUCUUCGAUUCUACAAGCUCCGGAAGGAGGUUCGGCACGUGGAUAUCGUGUGAACGAGGUUCGGUGGACACUUCGAGGAGUGGGCGUUGACGCUGCGAGGAGUUGCAGCAAGGUCGAUUGGUGGAUUCCUAUCGAUCGAGGACCGGCAAAGAUCACCAUCGACGAGAAUCGCGUUAAAUUGAGUCGUGUGUUUUUGUCGAUAAUCACUUGUACUCAAGUUUUCUUAGUGGAUUUUCUUUGUAUGGUGUCGGUGUCCCGUGGGUUUUUUCACUCCAAAUUGGAGUUUUCCCACGUUAAAUUCUCGGUGUGCUCGUUUUAAUUUUCGCUAUUUUGUUUUGUUUGCAUCGAAGAUUUUUCGAGUUGCCGGAUUUACACCUAUUCCCCCCCUCUAGGUUUACUUACCUUUUAGAUGCUCGGGAUCUAUAUCUCACACCCCUGGCGUUGAACAGACUUCGCCUUGUUGCGUACUACGCCAAUAAGCGCGGGCCAUUUGUUCCCUAAGCUCUUCCGUUGCCACUUGCUCCGGAUUGGCUCGCGGCACCGCAUUCGCUCCUCCGGCAUCGACCUUGCCUCGAUCGACGUCGAGGUGCCAUUGCUUCCUGAAAGAAGCAACUCGCAUUAGUCACUUGACCAAACAUUACUUGACCAUAUACCCAAUUAGGCGAAAGCCAACAUGCACAUUACAUCCUUACUCAAGCGUCUGUCGUCGGCCGCCCGACACAACACUAGAUAGGAGGAUAAACGAAUAUUAAACGAGCCUCUAAUCACGUUAGAGACGCCCCUACUUAACCAAUCACAUGCUUUCGCUAUCUGAUCCCACGCACUCACGUUUCUAGAUCCUUAAGGUCUUCCAAUCCUAAGGUCUCUAGGUCCAUUUCCUAUUCUUCACUAUUUCGCUCUGAUACCAAGAUAUCUGUCACGCCGCGGACGAUUACCAAAUUUUGGCCCGACCCGAGCACGUCAAACAGACGCGAACGGACAGAGUUUCCCCUAUCCGCCCAAGGCUCAUCACAUGUACAAAUUCAAACAAGAAAUGCACUAACGGAAACAUACACAAACGGCUACACCGAGGGUAAGCAAUAGCCAUUAGUGAAAGAAAGCGAAACUAAACAUCUACACAAGUAACAUGAUUCAUUUUAGAUCUAUACAUUGCAUCCAUUCUUACAUUUAGGAUUCUUUGCAUUUCAUUACAUCAUUUCAUUAUUUCUUUUUUUACAUCACAUACCUCAAGAUAAGCUUUGCAUUCUUCUUUUACAUUACUAGUCAUCAUAUACAGAAGAUGAACAUAGGUAGCUACUAACAAAAUGUAAACCCAACUCAACUUGUGGUGGCCUCUUGUCUAAGGCGCGAUACCUUUACUCGCGUCACUCGCGGCUCGCUCGCGUCCCGGCUCUGUGGAAUAUGAUGGGGUGAGAACUACAACAAAAUUCCCAGUGGGUUCGGUCUCAACAUCAACGACUUAUCCCACUUAGGACCUAACUCAGGCAUAAUAGAAAGGAUAAGCUGAAAUAUAGUAACCAAUCUACAACAUGAUACUAAUAUGCCUGAACAAAAGCAAGGAAUAUGCUCAACAUUAAACAUAUGCAGAUUAUGCAAGUUCUUUGUUCUUUUCAUAUUACUCUUUGUUCUUUAUUCUUUGCUCUUUGUUCUUUAUUCUUUGCUCUUUGUUCUUUAUUCUUUAUUCUUUAAUCUCAAGGCUAACCCGGGGGUUUCGCCACAUUAACUUGCUUCACAUUAAGUCCAUCAUCGCAGGAACUCACCCGCUAGGACCGUCCUUCGGGUUUACUCCAACCCGUGAUGCAUAACUCUGGAGCGCAUCGCCCGAGGGGGAGCGACCGCCCUCGAGCACGGAACUCAUAGCAAAUAUGAUCAUAUCCUUAACUCAAAGGAUUUAUAAAUUCAAUCUUGACUUUACACUAGCUCUAGUGUUCUUUCUUUCACUUUAUGUUGCCGCUCUAGCAAUCGUUGUUCUUUACUUUUUCUUUUACUUUUGCUAACUCUAGCAAUUAUAUUCUUUACAUUCUUUACUUUUGGCUACCUCUAGCACUUCGUGUUCUUUACUCCCCACAUUACCUUAACUUUAGACAUUAUCAUUUUCAUCAUUCUUUACGUCACGUUAGUUCUUUGCAUCACACUAACUCUAGUGUUCUUUCUUUACAUUUUCAAAUGCCACUCGAUCUAUGUCAUAGUGUUACUCUGUUCUUUUGCUCACUUUAGGUGCUCACUUUUCUCUCAUGCAUACACAUAGGGUUUUUGUCGUUUACAUAGUUCUCAUUCGUCAUAUCUUGCAAGUUGUACUCACAAUCAUGCAUUAUUACAUUUUCAUCAUUACUUUACCCUAAAAUGCAUGCAACAAUAUAUUUACACAUGCUCAAAUGAAUGACACAUUAGGCAUAGAGAGAAGUUCAAUGAGUUUGAGAAGCACCACCCACCUCGUAGGCUUUCAAAGGUGCUCCGAUGAUUUUCUUGGGAUUUUUAGACUCUUCGUUCUUUACCUGCGGCAUAACGAAGCCAAAUUAGGCUUAUUUGGCCAUAUCUUUACAUCGGCCUUUCGUAACGCUAAUCCGAGCGUACCAACGCGUCGGAAAUACCCCCAAUUAGGUUUCUAGAGGGUCAAUUGCACUUAGAAACCCUCAUGGGCAAAAGCCCCAAUUUGGGUGCCCUAGCUCCAAUGCAUGUGCAAACCUAGGGUUUGAUCUCAUUGGGAAGCAAAAGUAGCUUCCUUAUACUCUAAAUAGUUCAUUAGAACCAUUCUUAGGCCUUCCAGAACCCUAGAAUAGAUUUCACCAUUAGAGGUGGGUUGAAGCUCACCUUGAGCUCAACCAUGGUUUUGAUCUUUAAAGAAGCAAAAAGAAAGCUUCAAACUACUAGAUAUUCCCUUAGAAUCCAUUUCUAGGUUCAUUCAAACCCAUUUCUAGGGUUUUACUACAUUAGGGUUCAAAGCUUACCUUGUAAGCUUCCUUUUCUUGUACUAGAGAGGAAGAAGAUGAAGCUCCUUUGCUCCUUGAUCUUCUCCUUCACCUUCUUUUCCUUCUUUUUCUUCCUUUCUUUCUUUCUUCUUCUUCCCCUUUGUCUUCUAGAGAGAGAGAGGGAGAGAAGAGAGUGUGAGAGGGUGAGGAAAUGAGAGAAAAUCUCAUUAGGCCCCAUAACAUAGCUAUUGGGUUGCCAAAAUGCAACUAAACCCCUCAACUUUUACUUUAAUACACUGCUCGAACUGGGCAGUUCGCGCAGCCGGGGACCGGUCUCUCCUUCAGGGACCGGUUCCCGAAGGGUCUCCCCGCGCAGCCAGAGCUGCUGCGCGCAGGGCAACCGGUCUCUCUUAGGGGGACCGGUCUCUCGGGGACCGGUCUCUCGGACAGGGACCGGUUCCCGAGAGCUACUUUCUCCGGACUUAGCCAAUUUUUCGGCUGUCUCAUUUCAUAUGCGUUCGGGAACCGGUCUCUCCCACCAGGGACCGGUCCCCGAGAGCUGAAAAUUUGCAAUUUUGCAGAAUUUGAUUCUUUAGCUCUCGAAAACCUUCCACAACACACUUUUGAUCGUUUUAACACCUUCGGACUUUCCGAAGUGUACCGUCCUCGCACUUUGGUCAAUUUGACUAAAGUUCGAUAUUUACUUUCCGAAUUUUCGGUAUAUUACACUUCAGCCACACAAGGGAACAUGAGAAGGGUGAAGGGAUAUUAUACAAGUUGUAACAAUAUCCCUGGAAGUCCCUCAAAAACUCAGAAAUUAUAAACUGUACGAAACAAUCUCUACAGCAUUGAGUACCGAUACACGAAUUUGAGUAUCGGUAUUCGAGUAGUUCCAGUACUUGAUGGUCAAUUCUGUAAAAUCCGAACGUUAGUGUAACACACUAGACCUUUGCAAAUUGCGAGGUUCGAGUGUUUGAUCUGUGUUUCGAGUUUUUUCAGAUAUUCUGGAAAGUCGUUGACAGUGUUUCGACUUAUGGCUCGCAUCCCGAGAAUGAAGGUUUAAAACUGUGCACCAAAACUCAAAAAGUUGAAUUUUUGGUCUGCUCUCGGGUUAGCUUCUGCAGGGUUGUGUACCGAUACAGCCUUGAUGUUUGUACCGGAACACAUUUUGUACCGGUACACCUUGAUGGUUGUACCGGUACAGAUGUGGUUUUCUGCCAACCCGAGCCUCGGGUUUGCGCGUACAGGGUUUUGUACCGGUACACUUUUCCGUGUACCGGUACACUUUGCCAGAUUUCAAAAUGGCAGUUUUUGAGGGGUGUUUUUGGAAUUGUAUCAACUCUAUAAUAUACCCCACGACCCCUGGUGUUCCCUGAGCUUGGAGGCAGUGGAGAAGAAGGUAAGGGAGCUCUCCCCUUCCCCUCUUUCUUUUCCUUUCAUUUUAUGUGGGAUUUUGAGGUUUAAUCUCUCAUUUUGCUCCCUUUUUGCAUCUUGGUGGCUUUUCCACCAUGGGUGAAGGUUUGAGGCUUGGUUGGGAACUUGUUGGAGGGAUCAUUCUCAGCCUUAGCUCAUUUUGGGCCUUGUUUGGAACUUCUUGAAAGGUUAGUAGCUUACUACUUCUCUUUUGAUCAUGUUUUGCAUGAUUGUUGUAUUGAAACCCUAGAAAUGAGGUUUUAGGGUUGGAUUUGGGCAUUUUGGAUUUAGGACUUUUGGAGCUUGAUUUCUUGGAUUAGAAUCUUCCUCUAGAUUGGAUUGGAAGGGUUCUAGCUCCCUUUUGGAGAUCAAGAGAGACUAUCACCAUCUUAGGUGAGUUUUGGCCCUUUUGUUGAGUGGGUUAAUGUUUAACCUAUUUGUUAUUCGUAACGUUCGUGUAACGCUCCUAAUUUAACCUUUAGGGAGCUAGGAGGCUUGUGUGCACCUUCGUCGGCGCAAACGAAGGGUUGCAAGGAGACUUGGUGGGUUUGACCUCACCAAAACGGGAUAAAUCAUCUCUAUGAUGGUUUGUACUUAUCGUAAAAUGAAAAUGCAUGCAUAUUCAUGCUAGAUAGAAUAUUUGAGAAUUUUAGAAUUCUUAAAAGGCACAUGUUAUGUAUAAUGUAUUUUUGGACCUCUAUAUAGUAGAGAGUUUGCAUGUUGGGCUUAGACCUAUGUGUAAGAUACCAGACUUCUAAAAUUAUGAAGUUACGGUGGAUGUAGUAUGUUGGAUUUUUAAUAUAAAAAUAAAUAUAAAAAAAAAAAAAAAUAGUAUGAGAUACUAUUUUAUUGGAUUUAGAGAAGUGAAAUAUAGGUUGGGAAUGACCUGUGCUGAAAUCGGAGCGAAAACAGAAGAUUUAGAAUUUUCUGUGUGAAACGGGGCAGAUAAAUUAGCAGAAAAUGCACAGUGUCAGAAAAUUCUGAAAACUGGACGAUAAGCCAGAAUUAUUCUNUCUUUAUUUCACUCGUAUGUUACUUGUGAUUCUUGCUCUUAAUUGUAUAGCACUUGUAGUGCUCGUUGUAUCAUGUAUGUUAUUGAAUUUCUCCUGGGCAAAUUCUUGUACAUGAUAUGGUUGUUGAGCCUUGGGCGGACAGGGGAGGUGCUGUCCGUUCGGCGGUCCGCUUGCCGCCCUCGAACCGAACCAAAUUGGUAGCGAUCUCGGGGCGGGGCGUGACACUAUGGAUAGCACUCCUAUGUGUGGAAUUGGAUCAUGUUUCAUAUAGUGAAAAUGACAAGUGCAAUGCAUUCUUGGACUUAGAAUUCUUGGACUUAGAAUUCUUAGACUUAGACUCAUCAUUGGAAUAGUAAGCUAAUGUCAUAAAGAGACAUUGGGCUUGGAAUUGGUAUAGUAAGCUAAUGUCAUAAAGAGAUAUUGGGCUUGGAAUUGGUAUAGUAAGUUAAUGUCAUAAAGGGGCAUUGGGCUUGGAAUUGGUAUAGUAAGCUAAUGUCAUAAAGAGACAUUUGGGCCUGAAAUUGGUAUAGUAAGCUAAUGUCAUAAAGGGGUAUUAGGCUUGGAAUUGGUAUAGUAAGCUAAUGUCAUAAAGAGACAUUGGGCUCGAAAUUGGACUUAGCAAGCUAAUGUCAUAAAGGAGCAUUAGGCUUGGAAUAUGUGCGGACUUAGUAAACCUAAUGUCAUGAAGUGGCAUUAGUCUUGGAACAAGACUUGGGCUUAGCGAGAUAUAACGCCAUAAAGGGGCAUUGGACAUAAUGAAUGGUUAAACCUUCACUUGGGACAUUGGACUAGAUCUAUGGGUUGCUAGCGAUCAUUUCCAUGGUUGAGCCAUGAUGACGGGAUCGUUGUGACGAUGACUAUACUUGCUUGCCAUCUGUGCUCAUUCGCACAUGCUUGUGAGGAUCGCUCCCUACAAGCCGGCACUCCGGAGUUAGCUUAUGCCACUUAUGAUCGCUCGUGCGGUAUUGAGAAGCCUACGAGGGCCUGGAGGGUUAGACUCAUUACUCGAGGGGGAAUGCUGGAGCUACCACUAGCACUUAGGCGGCACAAGCUGGACUACCUUGUGUAGGUCCUUAAUUGGAAAUGAAAAUCAACACGAAGUCAUUUAUGUAAUAAUCACUACUUGAUAGUAUAUCGUAGUUGGAUUCAUUGGACAUUGGGAUAUAUAGUAUACUUGGUCGUUAUGAUAGUGCAUACUAGAUAUGUAUUGGACACUUGGACAUGUAGUAUACUUGAUAGUAUUGCUUAUUGCAUUUUAGUAUACUUGGGUGCCGAGCAUACUAGACAUGUUUUGGCAUAUUGGAUCAUGAUAGAGUAGAUGUACUCCAUGUUCAUAUCAUGUAUACUUGUGGCAUAGUAGAAUAGCAUUUUAUUAUAUGCUUUUCUUUCUACAGUUAUUUCAGUUAUUCAUAUCUGCUCAUGUUUUGGGCCUAGUGGUGCAUUUUGCUAAAGGUCAGUAAUUGCCCAUUGGGAACUAUAAAUUAUAGUUCUCACGCCCCCUGUUUUAUGUUUUCUUACAGAGCCUUCCACUCCGGGAGAGGCUCGGGAUCGCGGGAAAGAAAUCGCCUCAGGCUAGCUAGCGAGGGAUUUGUCGAUAGGUGGUCUGCCUCUCUCUUUUUUUCUUUUUUUUUUUAAGAGGUUGAGAGAUUUGUACCAUUUUAUAGAGACCACCCAUUAUAUGUAUCUUGAGACUUGGGUUGUAUUAUCUUACUUUUUACUUUAGUGGUUUAGUCUCUUUUGAUUCUACUUGUUGAUAGAACCUAGUUAUAUAUUCGCUCUGAUAUCUCUAGAUGUUUGUAUUAAGUUUAUUUAUCGCUUUUGUUGUAGACGCCUUAUAUGUGCAGGCAUAUGGAGGGUCUGGGCACGCACUGGGCGGGCCUACGCCGGGCCCCGGGGCGUGACAGUUAGAAAUUUCAAUUUCUAUUGCAUUCCGGUAUCUGCCCGAUGUAGUAUCGGUACUCGGUUCAGUACCGAUACACACAGCCGAGUUCCACAAAACCCGAGAGCUGUUCAAAUCUGCACUCUACUGAGUUCCGGUACCUCGUAUCCAGUACUGGUACUCAACACAAAAACUGUAGUUUUAUAGAUUUUGGUGUCAAAAUCCGUUCUCGCGCUCAUUAAGCUCCAAAAACAAGCAUAUACUCUCGAAACAUCAACCAAAACUUCCAGAAUAAUUCAAAAUACUAUUCUCACACUAAAACCCUACAAUUUGCUAAAGUUCAGUGUGCUACAUGUACACUCAAUCACCUCAUGUUACAAAACUCUCUCUUUUGGAGGUAUCACCGAUGACACCUUUAAACUUGUCUGGCAAAGCUGCACCACUCCGAGAACUAAAGUCUUUAAUUAUGUGAUUACUUUGUUGCAAUAACAUUCUAACAGCGAAAAAUUUGGCAAAAAGAAAUUGGUCGCGACCACUAGUGUGCAUGCUAUGUUUAGCAGACUCAGAAACCACUACGCACCUAUUCUUUUGAUGCACCUUCGAGACUGAAGUAUGGAGAAUCUGUUGUACAAUAAGCAAUGCCCCACGACCACACUACUACAACCGUGGGAAAAUAAUAUUGAUUCAAUUUGGAAGGCGAUGAGGAAUGCAUUGGACAAAGAUAAUCGAUCGAAAUGGGACACUUCAUUUGCUACUGCCAGAAGCUAUGGAAGGAGCGAAACAAUCGCAUAGUUAGAAACAAAUGUAGGAAUCAAAAUCAGCUUGGCAAUUUCAUUGCUGAAACACCCAACGUUUGGUAUAGGACUUUCAACCAAAGCUAUCCUUCGCCACAUGGAAACUUAUAGAAAGACACAAGUAAUUUAGUUCUUGCAGAUACCGAGUGAAACACAAGAAAGCAAACUAUAAACGCACUUCUUUUUAAACUUUUAUUUAUUUUAUUUUACUUCUAUUUUUUAAAAUUUAAAUUUUUCUCUUUUUGUUUUCUCUCUCUCUCUCUCUCCUAUAUCCUUUUUCUUACCUUUUAAAUGAAAUGAUAUGUUCUCGUCUUACUUCAAAAAAAAAAAAAAAAACUACUGCACAAAUAUGAAGUGCAAUACUGAUGGAUUUCAAAUAAGAGAUUUAUGUAUCCAAAUGGAACCUAGAUGGUACAGCAGGAAUGCGUGCCUACCACUAUCCCUAUUUUUAACCGGCGACCCAACAAGGCCUUGAUAUUUCUAGACUAGAAGCCACAAUCUAUUGACCUGCACAUUGAAAGGAGAUUUCGCAAACGCAUGAUGAAUUACAGGAUCUUAUGCGUAAUUGCCAUCCAGUUUUAAGCUGACACGUUUUACCAAAUGAUACCUGAUCUGUCGCGACAUCCAUGGAACAGAGAAUUAGCCAACAAAACACGAAUCCACACGGACACAACUUAACCUAGAUGAUGGCUAUACGAAUUAGGAGAUCGUAACCAAAUGCCCCGUUUUACGUCUCUCUCUCUCUCUCUCUCUCUCUCUCUCUCUCUCUAUAUAUAUAUAUAUAUAUAAAUAAAACACCAUAGAAUCCAAAAAAAUAUAAAAAAUCUUAUUGGAUAGUGAUCAUGAGCACUAUGCUUAGAGCUAAGGUUGCUUACUUACCAUGGGCGACUCGUAUAAAUUGAAGAAACACUGGCCGUUUAAAAUGUUAAAUACAAGUUCACAUUUAAAAAUAUAAUAGCCAGAAAAUUAGAAUCAACGUACCAAGGAAAAUAUAAUUUACAAGAGAGCUGUCCCUUACAAGUACUAACGGCUUCAGUUACAUUCAAAUACCUCUUUCACCCUUUCCUAUGAUGCAUCCUCAAGCGUCAUAUCUUGAGAAUCACAACCUUAAUACGUAAUGAAACAGAAGAACAAGGAAAGGAAAAAAAAAAAAAAAGAAAAAAAAAAAAGAGAAGAAGAAAAGAAUAGAAAAGAAAAGAGAAGAAAAGAAAAACCUCACUCAGCAGUCAGCACUUUGAUGGGGGCUUGGGUAGAACAAACAUAUGCUCACGGCACGGGCAACAGUAUCUGGCUAAAAAACGACAAAAUAAACAAGACGCUGCUGCAGCAGAUGUUCCAAGCCUCGCAUUUCACCCUUUGUACCUUCGAAGCCCACUUGGUUAACUACAGCUGGUGAGGAUUUCGAACUCCAGUUGGACUGGGAAGAUUGCUCAUGCUUGCUGUCCUAAGGAGUUUGCGGAAUUCGUACAGACUAAUCUUCCCGUCUUUGUCGAUGUCAGCCUCUUCUAACAGCGGCUCAAUAGAACCCUUUAACCCAGUGUGCUGCACAGCCAAAACAGAUAUAUGAGAAGACAGUUCUGCUAAUUUAGUAGUACUCUUACGAUUUAUUUUCAGAUAUAGUGAGUCCGUGUUUCUUAAAGAAAAAAAAAGAAAAAAAAAAGAAAAUUAAAAUAAGAACUCAAUCAGACAUCUAACAAACAAAAACCACACUGGAGAGAUGAGUUACCAAUCUAAGUUCCUCGGGCGUGAUAUACCCAUCUCCAUCCAAAUCGAAUUUAUCAAAAGCAGCCUGGCAACGGAGAUGCCACUUUUCAGAAUCAUGCUCGGCCAUCUGGUGAACGUGUAAAGUUGCCGUCACGAAUUCUUUGAAGUCCACAAGCCCAUCCGUGUUGCUGUCAAUCUGCCAUUAUUUUGAGAAACUUUUUACCAUUUUGUGAGCAGUGUUAACAAAAUUGUUAUACUUAGUUAUAAGCAAAUUCAAGGACUUUUUUUUUUUUUUUUUUUUCAUUUAGCACCUUAUAUUUUUCUUUUCCAAAUGAGCCCUACAAAUUUAAAAUAUUUGCAGGAAUGAUCCUUUCCUUCUUACGCAAGUGCCAAGCUAGACAGGUAAGUUGAACACGGUAAUUCAUUUACUGCAUUCAAAUAUGAUAAAUGAAUAACCGUGUUCUCUUUGACUUAAUCCGCAUGCUGCAAAGGCAAAGAGAACACGAUAGUCCGCAUGCUGUUAAGGCAAAGCGAACACGAUGAUUCAAUUACCAUGUUAAUAAGAUAAAUGAAUUACUGUGUUCAACUUUAAAUUCCGAUACAACAGCCGCAUGGUAAGGAGAGGAUCAUUCCUGUAAGCAUAAAUUUGUAGGGUCUAUUUGCCAAAAAUAAAAAAAUUAAGAGGCGGCUAAAGGCCAAAAAAGCCCCAAAUUCAAUGUCCACAAUUCUUUGCUUUUCUUCCUUCCUUUUUCUUUUUCUUUUUUUUUUUCUAACCAACCUUAGUCAAAGGUUAUAUACAUACGCGUGUGUGUAUAUAUAGAUAUGUAUGUAUGUAUAGAUAUGUAUGUAUAUAUAGAUAUGUAUGUAUAGUUGGGCUAGAAUACUAUCACCAGUAAACGGACUUCGUUGCUAUCGAUUUGUUUUUUAUGAUAAAGUCUCAAAAAAUCGAUAAUCAACAUCAUUGAACAUGAUCUAGACGACUUAAAGAUUUAAAAAUCAAAUUUUAUGUUUUUUCGACACCACUGACCUAAUGACCAAAGGAUUGCAAAGUUUAUAAUUUUAAUGGUUGAUACAAUGCAUUUGCUCGUUUAACGGUGUAAAAGAAUUCAAAUCAAUUAAAUUUUUGCUUAAAAAUUCUUUGAAAUAUGUAAAACAAGGUCUACACUCUUGAUCUUGAUUAAGAAAUUCCUAUCAUCACUUUUGAACAAUAUUUAUUUUCAGUCUUUCAUUUUUCUGCCCACUUGAUGCACAAGAUAAUAUCGGAAUAAUAUGAUAUUCGACUUUUAGAUAUUUCAAAUGAACUAGAUCAUGAUCAACAGUGCCGAUCGUCGAUCCGAAAACUUAUUAUCGAAAACAAAUUGGUAGCAACGGAGCCCGUUUGCUAGCAUUAGUAUUCUAGCUCAACUCUCUCUCUCUCUCUAAAUAUACAACAAACAUAUGCACAUAUACAGAUAUGUACUAGUGUGUAUAUAUAUACACACUAGUUAAGUGUAAUGCAAAUGAGUGUCACAAUUAUUUCAAUAGUUAUUUCAAAUCAAUAUAAAUUUGUGCAUCAUAUUGAUCCAAAAAAAUAAAUUUUCAAAUAAAUAAAAUUCAUCUUUUCUAUUUUAUUAGAAAAUAUAUGCCAUAUCCGAAUUCAAAUUUAAAUGGUUGCUGUUUACAAUAGUUAUAUAGUUCUAUUUUCUCUUUUAUAUACAUUGGAUAUUUCAGUAUGUUUUUCGAAUUUUGACAAAUCCAAAAUUUAAGCAUGUGUUUUAAACUAAAUUUAAUGAAAUUUUAAUUCAUUUUCAAUUCAAAAUAAAAAAUUUAAUUUUAAUCCACUUUAAAAAUAUUUUUAAUUUUUCAUUCAAAUUUGAUAUCCAAAAUUAAAUUUAAUUCACGACUUAAAUUUUAAAUUUAACUUAAAUUUAAAAAUUCAAAAUUUUAAAUUUAAAUUUCAUAAUUAAAUUUCAUCUCUAAAUUUAAGAUAAAAUAUGAAUUUAAAAUCAAAUAAGAUUAAAAUUUAAAUAUAUAUUGAAAUUCAAUUCAAAUUUGAUUGUUGGUUGCAAAUAACAAAAAGUCAAUAUAACAACUAAAUAUUAGUAGAUAGUAUUGAGAUAAUCUGAAAAUAUUCACCUAAAAGGAAAAAACAUGAAAUAAUAUAGAAAUAUUUAAUUAAAAAAUAAGGUUAUCCGUAAGAGAAGAAUAAAAAUUAAAAGGUUGUUUUAUUAUAUUCUUUGUUCGCGUAAGAAAAGAGAGGAAUCGAAAUUCUUUUUUUGUCAAAAAGUGGGUCUGUCGAUAGACCCAAAUUCAAAAUAGGUGCUAACAUAUUAAACAGAUAUAUGUAUAGAGAGAGAGAGAGAGAGAGAGAGAGAGAGAGAGCUAGGCUCCUAUACUAUCUAUAGUACUAAAGCUCCGGUACUAGUCUCAUUUUUAAUCUUAGGGUAUUCAAAUCAACGAUCUACACCGUUAAAACUAAUAUAGAGUAUUUGAAGUUUUUAGAAAUAAAAUUUAUAUCUUUUCGACAUAGUUUACUUUAUGAUCAAAGCAUUUCAAACUUGUCAAUUUUCAAUGGUUACUAUGACAAGUUUGUAGUUUAGCGGUGUAAAAAAAUCUAAAUUUAUUCAAAUUUUGAUAGAAAGUACUUUAAACUAUCUAGAUCAAGGUCAGCAUUCUUGAUCUUGAAUACAAAAGUCCUAUCUUCAAAUUUUAAAGAUUGUUCAAUUUUCAUUGUUCAUUUUGACAUGAUUUACUUAUUACGAUGUUGAAAAAGAAUAAAAUUUUAUUCCUAAAAACAUCAUAUACCCUAGAUCAUAUUUGACGGUUUGGAUCGUUGAUUUGAACACCCUAAGAUUGAAAACGAGACUAUAGUACCGCAGCUCCGGUACUAUAGAUAGUAUAGUAGUCUCAUUCUAUAUAUAUAUAUAUAUAUAUAUAUAUAUAUAUGUAUUUGUGUAUAUGUAUAAAGAUAAAAAAUAGUUGUAUUGUGCAUCCAUGAGUUAAUGUGGGAGGACUGAGAUUUUUCUUAUAUAAAUUUGACGUCUUUUUAAAUAUUAUCGUGUGUAUUUUAAUUUUAAACUUGCCCGUCAAAUUUCAGCAAAAAAUGAUUUAAAAUAAAGAUUUUACCCGAUUAUUCCUUUUCACUUAAAGUGAAUAGUAACCUGCGUUUCCGGUUGUGACCGAGGAGAGAGGUAGGGAACGCGAAUUGGACUCCAUUUUGGACGAUUCGAUAGCUUACUUUCGAUGGUCCGACUGUGCCAGAGCCGACGACAUUGAUGGAUUUUAUGUUCGACACACGAUUUUCGAGAAAACAACUUUUAUCGCUGGGAGGGCAUUUAUUCCGCGUUGUUCUUGCCUUUUAAGAGCAAUCGGUGCUCUAUUUUGUGUGAAAACUUACGAGCGGGGGUCUUUCUACGAGAGAGAGAUAUUGGAGAGGGACUGGUUCAUCAAUUUGAAGCCUUGAAGAACUUUGGAGCAAUUAUACCCUAUGAAUAGUGGUAUAUAGGAUUAGAAUGUGGAUUUGGGGAUUUUAGAACCCAAAACCCUAGACCCCAACCCUCCUCUCCUUCUUCUCCACCUGAGAGGUCAGCCACCGCAGCCGUUGCUGUCGUCGGCCACUAAAGAAGAAGAAAAGCCUUUCUUCUUCUUUCUCUUCCUCUUUCUCUCCAACAUUGAGAGGUGUGAAGCGAGGAGCUCGAGCACCCUUAUAACCGUGCCGCCGUCCACCGGGACAGCCGCUGCCGUCCUCCCGCGACCCUCCCCUAGUUGCCCCUGGCGCCGUUGUGCAUCAGGGAGUCGCCGCGGCUGAGGUGGAGCUCCAUGGUGCAUUUGCAGCCGGCCGCUGCCGCCGUGCUGCACCGCCACAGAGCGACGCUAGAGGUCCCAAGGAGUCCACCGGUGCCGCCCCUUGCAGUCCCUACCCGCCGCCGCAGCGAUCCAUGAUGCUCUGGCCACGGGUUCUCACGGGAUUGCCGCAGCCGCCGCUGCCGCUACCUCCUGCCGCUGGCCAAGGGUCCCGGCCGACUGCCCUGGUUGCGGAGACCCUCCCCUGGCCGAGGCUCCCUGUGCUGUGCCGUCGGCCGUCAAUCCCGUGAUGCCCUAGCCCUACAAGGAGGGUACCUAGGUAGAAUCCAGGGAUUGCCUUGGCCGAGCUCCAUUUUUCGGCCACCGGAAAGUUCGGCAAGCACCCGAGACAUGAGCACUGCUCCUGGGAUCAUGUGGAGUCCCGUGCUCACCUUAGCUGCGAUCAAUGAAGCUCCGAUGUGCGCGUGGGAGUCGAUUGCUUCCGGGAGUGAGCCAUUGGAGGGGUUUUUCUACUAUUUUGAAGCCUUCCGGCCGUCGAUUGCGCUCCGAACAGCAAACACGAGCAUCAUGUCGAGACGAAUCAAAUCGACUAGUUGGUUGGAUCCAUUGCGACACGGAUCAGGGUAACGAGCUCGAAACUCACGUUUAUGUAUUAUUUGUAUAGUAAUUAAUGCUAUAAUGGGUUAUUUGCAAGUUGUAUGCAAUGGAACCCCGCGCACAGCCUCGGACAGCAUGUAAUCGUUAACGACCCCUUGACUGAUCGUCAAAGGUCCGGGAGCCGUUGCGGAGUGAAAACGGGGUCCCGCGGCGUCAUUUGGCAAAAAUUCACCCCGAUCGGACGCGGUUCAAUUUGCAGUUUCCUCACAUUAGUAAUUCGAAUGUCCUAGAGACCCUGCCAAGCCUUGUUGGCUGGUUGUUACCGCCACCUUUGAAGACUGGAGGCAGUGGAUGAGCGACAGAGGGGUUUCAGUGUGUUUUCUGGUGAAAUCGCUGAUAGAACGCGAUUUCGCGUCGCGAUGAGUUUCCGGCUGCUUGGUCGCCCCGAAAAUCAUCGCCUAGCCUCGUUGGCUGGCCGCCGGGGUCAUCUCGUGUGUUUGGAGGCGAUAGGUGAGCGACGAAGGCUUCCCAUGCCAAAGUAGACACUUUUGAAAGCCCGGAGCAAAACAGUCGACUGGGGACGAUCGAGUUGACCUUGGUUCUUGUGUUUUCUGCCCGAACACUCAAAUGAAUGUGUUUCAGGGUAGCGGAUGAUUCAUGGCAUGAGUCGGUGUGUUUCGAAACUUUUCGUGGGUCUCGCGGGCAUCCUGGUGCGUUUUUGGGAUUCCCGGCAAGUUUGAAAAUCGAUUUUGGAAAACCAACCCCGCAUGUGGUUUUGGGUUUGAGAGCGAUGUCUUUUGAGUAUGUAGGUUUGGUUUCUAACUCGGUGGACCUGUCGUAGGUCCAGUCGACGGUUCUGCACACCGCAGGAGCUAGAUGCAGUUGCGACACAGGUUGGUAUUUUGAUCUGAAGUCGGUUCAGUAAUGCACGCUCAAUGAUGUUUCCUCCACCCUUUCCUGUUACUUCCGGCAUAUAUCUUAUACUCGAGCCUUACACCACAUGAAUUCGACUCUAGCUCUACUUAGCAUACUCCUCUCUUGUUUGCUAUGACAUAGAAGUAGAGCGAUAGAGGUUGCUUAUACAUGAUCGUAUACAUCAUUGUUGACCUGAGUGGUCGGUUCCCGUAGACGCAUCAUUGUUUACCUAAGUGAUCGGUUCUUGUGUAUACCCCAUUGUUGACCUGAGUGAUCGGCUCUCUUGAAUACAUCCUAGAUGACCAGAGUGGUCAGUUCCUUUAUACUCUUGUCAUUGUUGACCUCGUACUUUCAUGUAGACCUGAGAAGUCGGUACUUGCAUACUUGUGAGGAUGUUGACCUUGUCCAUCCCGGUUGACUUGAGUGGUCGGUACUGGUAUACCAAUGUUGUUCCGAUGACCUAUUGGUCAGUGUGCUCUGAGGGGCAGUGAUUGUCGGCUAUUCGCUGACGGUUGGCUAUUGAUCAUAUUUGCAUCUAUCGCCACAGCUCGUGAGCAUUUCACAUACAUCAAUGGUUUGGCCAGCACAAGAGGGUGUUUUUUUCUGAAAAAGUGGUCGUACAUCAGACCCGUAAGCCGAGCGGCCAUUGCUAGGGUUAUAUGCCAGGUGGGCGAGCAUAUCGUGGCUUUGCCUGAGAUCCUUAGAUCGACACGGCGGUGUAGAUUGGGUUGACGGAUAUAACUACAGUAGCAGUUAUUGCAUACUUAUUUUCAGUUCAUCUCUUACACUUAUUGCUACUGUAAACCUUUCUUUCCCUAUACCUGGUUACCGGUGAGUAUGCUUGCCUUCGUCGGCUUGUGGUACCCACUGGAAGACCCUUUGUUGGUUUCUCACCCCUAUUUUCCCACAGGUGACAUGGGUAGGAUUGGUCGGGACGAUGCGUAAGGCCAUAGUUAGAGGGCCGAGAUAGAGUUUCCCGAUAUACGGUAUACGUUUUGAUUAUAUUCCUUACUUAGCAUCAGUUACACUUGUGGAUAGCAUACUCUUACCUUAACACCUGUUAGUAGAUAUUUAUGUGGUUCAGUUCCUGUUUAUACUUGUGGCUUUUGAGAUGUUGUACUCGAAGAGGUUUUGGAUAUCGAGCUUUUGGACUUAUGUGGUUUUAGCUUCGGAUUUGAAACUUGACUUUCUACCCCUUGUGGUAGUGUUUUCAAAAUAAAGACUCCCGUGUAGGAAACGAUUUUCAAAUGAUUUUCUUGUGGUUUUUCGAAAGUUAGAAUUUCAAACAAAGUCUUCGUGUGGGAGACAUUUUCAACUAAUAAGAUGAAUGAGAAUGAAUGUGAAUGGAUGUGACUAAGAACCAUCAGCUGUAUGUUGAUGAAUAUUGUUCCUUGUACAUCCUAUACCGCUGUGUGUGUGUGAGUGGUCUGAUUGCUAAUUGUACAUGUGCUACGUCGUGCAAAUACAUGGGAGACUCUGUCCAUUUAUUUCGAAAAUUCUCUAUAUUUGUGACGAGUCCGUUACACCCUUGAGGGUCAAGGUUUUGAAAAAAAAAGGGCAGUUUCCACCAACUAUGAUUUAUAAAGAUAGUCCGAUUUCGAAUUGGCUUUCAAAAAGGACCUCGAGGUGUGACAUAAUGUGGACAGAACAUUAUUGUAUGCCCUAGUAGUAGCAAUUCUGAUUGCAGCUAAGACAUUGCACACACCAUAAGGUAUGACUCAAUGGUAAAUAAUGGCUGAAAACAGAUUUUUGUAUAAUGUAUGCACAUAUAUUCAGCACAAAAUUUCGUUAUCACCACAUGUUUUUGAUAAUCUACAACCUUCAGUUUGUGAGAAAACAAAAAGUUGUAAACAACAUAAAACUAGGAUUCCGUAAAGCAGACUAAGUGGGUGUUUGGUGUCGACUCUCGAGAGUGGUUUUCAGGCCAAAAGUGAUUUUUCCAUCAAUGAGCGUUUAGUAACACCUUUUUUCAAAUCUGAUUCUGACUUUUAGAAUUAAUUUUUUGAUUUUACAAGCCCAAAAUUACAUUCUACUUGAAAUUUCAUCUGAUUUUGUACACAAAUUUAAGUUUUAAUUUUAAUUUUUUAUACAAAUUUUAGAUUUAAAUUCAGAUUUUAAAUUUUAAAUUAUAAAUUUUAAAUUUUAAAUUUCAAAUUUGAACUUCACAUUUCAAUCAAAAUUUUAAAUUGAAAAUUUAGAAUUUAAGAUAAAUUUUAAAUUUAAGUUUAAUUUUUAAAUUUCAAAUUUCAAAUUUUAAAUUUCAAGAUUAAAAUUUAGAUUUUAAAUUUCAAAUUUUAAAUUUUAAAUUUCAAUUUUCAAUAAAUUUAGACUUUAGAUUUCAGAAUUGAAAUUUAAAAUUUUAAAUUUUUAAUUUUUAAUUUCAAAUUUAGAUUUUAUAUUCAAAUUUCAAACUUUCAAAAUCAAAGCUUUAAAUUUUAAAUUUGAUUUUAAAGUUUAAUGUUUAUUAAAAUUUAAUUUAAAUUUUAAAGUGAAAAUUCUAAAUAUCAAAUUUUAAGUUUUAAAUUUUUAAUAUCUUAAAUUUUAAAUUUUGAUUUUAAGUUCCAAUAGCAAACUUUAAAUUCUAUUUUAGAUUUUAAAUUCAAAAUUUUAAAUUUAAAUUCAAAUUCCGAAUUAUUUUAAAAUAAAAUUCACCAAAAAAUUGUUCGCAAAUGGCAAAAUUUUUUGCUAAACAGCUUUACAUAAUCAUUUUAAGAAAAUCAUUUUCCAUCUAGACCCAGCUAAAUGCUCUACAUGGAAAAUAAAAAAAAAAAUCAAUUAUGCAAAAAUCAAUGUAUAAACGCUCUCCAAACCAAAAACAAUGCAAAAAUCACUUCUCCAACAGCUAGGCCAAACAGGCCCUAAAAUUAAAAAAAAAAAAAAAAUCAAUGUAUGAUAUUAUUUGCCAAAUACUUAUGUCAUUAAUAGGAAGUAAUGUUAUUACUGAUCUACAACGUGCAUUUUGAGAAAACCAUAUGUAGCUAAAUGAAGUCAGAGAACCAUAUGUAAAAAAAUGAAAUCAUCUCAAAUAGAGUUCUAAAAUAAAUAAAGAAAUAAAUAGGUUAAUUUAUAUAGCUUAAAAUUGCAUUCAGUUCAUCUAUUCCAAUAUUUGAAAUAUAUGUUCCUUAUGCAUAGUGGCUGAUUGCUAGCAGACGAGUUUAGUGACUUACUGCUUGAAGGAUCUCUAGGACGCGUGGACCUCUUAAUCUCCACGGAAGGUCUUUUGCAAGAGCCUGUUUAUGAAGUGAACAUAGUUAGCACUUAGAAGUAUAUUAAUCUCCAGCCCCCAAACACUUAAGAAGAAGAAGAAAAGCAGUACUAAACAUUUGUUGGUCAAAUAGAACAACAGAUAUGAAAAUAGAAGAAAGGCAUUUAUGUGACAUAUCCGAAAAUCUAGUAAUAGCUCCUUUCUUAUGCAGUCCUUCAGAGAAGAAAAGAGAACAGCAGAAGAGAAGAAAUAUUUUAAAAGGAAAUAAGAGAAGAGUUAAAAAUAAAAUUCACAAAGAAGCAGCUUGAUCUACUCAGUAAGGUCAUGAGAUGGUAAUGCACCAGAGGGAACAGACAAGUAAUUAAGUACAUUUGAUGCUCAAUAUGUAAUGGGAAUCAAACAAUAUACUCUAAUGUAAUUGACUAUAUCACUAUACAAAAUUUUUGCAGCUCAUGGCUAAAUUUAUUUCCCAAGUGAGCUGGUUAAUUAUCAACCUCCUCUUUCUUCCUAGCUUGAAACUCAUUGCAUUCAAGGAAAAACUAUGAAAGGACUACAUGAAUCUUUUCUAUGUUGAAGAAGAUUUCUGGUCAUCUGUUCACCUAAAAUGCUUUUAAUAAAAGACAAAGAUCAUUAGCAGUCAAAAAGAGCAUAAAGAAGGCUUCCAUUCAAAUUAAUGAGAAAGUAAGAUAUGAGAAGUAAAAGCAUCUUUUUUUUUUUAUGUUUAUGAGUGGGAAUAGCUAAGGGAAUCAAAUCAACCAUUUUCUUGAAGAUUAUUUUGAACAAUUCUCAUUUGCACAAAAAGAUGCAAAUAAAAGAAUUGAAUAAGCAUAGUCAGAACUCUGAAGAUUCUGUUUCGUGAAGCUUAAGUACAACAAGCGAUAGUGAGAGAAACACCAUUGUAGGAUCUUAUCUAAGCACUUGAAAUCUGAAUUACAACUUAUGGUUUACACAUAACACAGAUGUUCCAACAAAAUCAAUCACGAAUCACAAAAAUGAUACGGCUAUCCAGACAAUGAGAAGACUAAACAGUCGCAAAAUGAAAAGAAAAGAGGCAAGGAUAGAAUGGGAGUACAUGGCACCGGAAAUUUAAAUGUGCAUCGUAGUGUAUAAUUGCAAGCUAUCUUAUUUCAUGGUAGCCACAUGAGAGCUCAGUAGCCACUGAUGAGAAAGUACUUCAUUUUAAGAAUUCAAUAAAUAAAUUAACGAGUACUUACAUGUCUCAUUUCUUCUAAACUGAUUGAACCAUUUUUAUCAACAUCAAUAGCAUCAAACUGGUCCUUGAGGUCUGAUAGCUCCUCCUCAUCAAGUGUACUUGCUAAUGCCUGAAAUAUCUCUUGAUGUUUUAGAUCCCAAAUAAUGAUUUAAAAAUAACAAAUAAGUAAUUCCAUAAAAUAAGAAUACCCUUAAAGCAAAUUGUUUCAUGCGGCUGUACAUCACAAAUUCACGCAUGUUGGAUAGAACAGAAAUAUCUACUGGGAUUUCAGAUGCAUCUCCACCUUCUCUCACCCACGGGUGUGCUGCAAGGUUGAAGUCCAAAUAAACAGACAGAAAAAAUAAAUUAAAUAAAAACAAUGUGCCCAUCAAACUGAUGAGUUCCAACGAUCAUUCCACUCAAAAUGGGAGAGAAAUUUAAAUGUUAAAAUGAAGACCAAAAUAAAAUAAAAAAAAAAUAGCAUAAAAUCAUAUAGAAGCUAUAUCAUUUCUUUUUAAGCUCACAAUUGAGCUAUAUAUCAUACAUUCUUUCCUACUCAAGGACAAAGAAUAAACUUGAUACAUACACAAAGCUUGAGCAGCAGUUAGUCUUGCACGAGGAUUUUUCACCAAUAACUUUAUAAUGAAAUCUUUGGCGCUCGCACUUAUUGUUGGCCAUGGCUUUUUACGGAAAUCAGGUUUAUUCCUUAAGACCUGCAAUUAAGCAGCUCAAGCAUUAAAAUUCAUUUGUUAUUCCUCAUGGGACAACAGAACUACUGAGAAAUAUAGAAUCUAUUAAUGAUCAAGUAUGCCAUUAUAAACUAGUAACAUCAAUCAACUUCCUUAACUGCAUGUAUCUACUAAUUCAGCUUGAAGCUUAAAAUCAGAAGGAAAUGUCUAUCUAGCAUCAAGUUAUACAAUAAAUUUCUAGUAGAUUUGAGUUGAACAUUCCAAGAUCCAUGAGAGAAGAGGAUUAAAAAGUCCAGUAACCUCCCUGGAAAUGACUAGAUGCAUAAGAUAUGUAUAUAACACCGGAUAGCAUACCACAUUCAAUCAGCUUCAAUGGAUUUCCAAGUUUCUUCUAAAAAUUCUGCAGCAGAGAGCCACAUCGUGGCAAUUUUUUCUUUUUUUUUUUUCCUGUGAAGUAGCUUCAUGAAAGGGAGUUUCUUAUAAUAAGCUGACACGGCAGAUUCGAGUAUUCACUAGCACUACCCUAAACAAUUCCCAGGAAUUAGCUGUUCUUUCUAUGACAACUCACUGUCAAGCUAUAUAAAAGAAAAAACAUGUACAUUGUUAAUUCUUUCAUGAUGAUCCAUGAUCAAAUUAUAUUUUGUGAAUUCAACAACUUCUACUCAAAUCUUUGUCAUAUAAUAAAGGCUCCUCGACCAUCCAAUAGUGCUCACUAACACUAAUUAUAAAGUUGAAGUUAAACAAAAAAAAAGAAAAGCAGCAAUACACUUGCAUAUAAAUAUCUGAGUAUUUAAAAUUAUUGCUUUGAGGGGCACCAAAUAAGAAUGGCAGACGACUAAAGUCCAAAACUAAUCAUACUGAGGUUUCAUAGACUUUCCAUUUUCAAACAUUAGAACUCAAAACUAAAAGUGAGAACAAUGCCCUCCACUAAGUUUGCGAGGACAUUAGAACACUAGAUCAUCACAUCCGUAAGAUAAAGAUGACAAUGCAAUUCAUUAUGGUAUAUUCGUUCAUUGCCAAAACCAUAUUCGCCAGAAAAGUAAUUACCUCAACAAGCUGGAAAAAUGAUUACCUCAACCAAAAGUAGAAAAGGAAAAAAAAAAUAAAAUGAAAUAAAAUGAAAGAAUUCUAGGAGAACAAAAGUUGAGCUAGAUAUGAAGAUGAGACAAACUAGAGUAAUAAGUACCUCCUUAAAAAUUCCAUCCUCAGUUUUAUCCCAGAAAGGACGUCUUCCACAUAGUAAAAUAUAAGUUAUGACUCCUAUGCUCCAAACAUCAGACUCAGGCCCUGACCGGCGCUUUAGUACCUCUGGAGCAACGUAAUAAGCACUACCAACAAUAUCACGAAACAUUUUUCCUGCAAGAAUCAGUUUAAGCUAAGAGCACGAAAUCACUCAGAUAAUUACCGAUAGGAAUUGCUCUCACAUGAACUUGACGAUUGACAACUAAUAUGGUAACUUGCAGAAAAAGGAUUCCUAAACACAAACCUGGCUGUAUAAAGUCGGAAAGGCCAAAAUCUGUUGCCUUUAGAGGUGAAUCCUCCUUAGUUGAUUUGAAAAGAAAGUUCUGAGAAGGAAAGCAGGCACAUUCUUACGUCACCUGGCAAGCAAUGGAAUAUUACCAGAUUUACAAACUAAAUAUUAAGUCUCCCGAAGGUGUUGUAUUUAUACCUCAGGCUUCAUGUCUCUGUGUACUAAGCCAUGCAAGUGACACUCGGCUGCAACCUUCAGCAUCUGCCUCACUACUAUAGCAGCAUCUUUCUCACUGUAGCGGCUAUCCUUUCUGCGCACAGAAGAUCAAAUUAUUAUAUCCAAAUUAUGUUCCAGGAAAAUAUUAAUGCAUACAGGAUAAAUUUAGUGUGUCAAGAAUAGUUGCGUCAAGAAUAGUAAUGUCAAGAAUAGAAGACGCGAGAAAAUGGCAAAGCCAAGUAGAAGAUAAAGAGUAUAAAGCAAAAAAGACAGUAGAAGUUUAAUCGUACUUGGCCAAAAUUCGGUCCAGUAGUUCGCCACCUUCACAUAAUCUGGUAAAAUUAAGACAAAAAGGUUACUCCCUUCCAAAUAAAAACAGAUAGAACAUGCACCACUUUUAUCAAAAGAUUAGCGCAGAUUAAACAACAGAGCAACACUUACAUAUUCCCAAAAAAAAAGAGAACUUUAAUUAAUUAAGAUGCACAAUCAAGCGAAGUUUGACUAAAUAGAAUUCCAAUAGAUAAAAAGCAUGUCAUAAUGUUUACGUAUUAUGAUCAAAUUCAGUAGCAAGGUUUCACUACUUGAACAUUUGAUAUAGAAAUGAUGAGGAAAACAGCCAAGAGAGUUAGCGAUGAAGAUGUGUGCAGCAUGCUUAAUGGGAGGAACAUAUAAAGCCCUAUAUGUUAUUCAAUUUUACCAGAAGAAGCUGCAAAAUACUAGCUAAGAAUGAUCACUUUACAAACAAUUAGUAAUGCCGGAAUAAACAUGAUUUCAAAAUUCACAAGGAAAUGGGUUAUCUCAGUAGGUAUUAAAAUCGCAUAAUGUUUCUAAAGUAUGGCUGCAAAAGGAUAGUUACAUAUAUUGAGCAACAAUGGAGAAGCUUAUUAUAUGCUGAAUACGCUAUUAAGCACAUAUACUAUAAAUCUUUGCAGACAAAACACAAAACGAUGGCCAAUAUAGCACCCCCAAAAUAUCACCCUUUAAAGAACUCAAGCACUAGGAAUAACAGCAUUAGAAGGCUCGAUAGUGAGAUCCUGCAAUAAAAAGAAACUUGGAAUUUCGGAAUACUUACUCCAUAACAAUAUAUACAUAGGAAUCAUCUUCGUAUGCAUUAUGGAAGUGCACAACAUUCUCGUGAUCUUUAAGGGCUUGAAGUAUCUUUACUUCUCGCUUUACAUCCUCAACAGCAAUAGGAAGAACCAUCUGCCAUGAAAUAUCAAGAACCUCAAACACAUUUGAACAAUUAUAUGAGAAUUAAACGCACAAAGAACGAAAGGCAAUAAUCAUUCAUUACAACAUUCGAGGUACUUAGCAACCACAGUAACUAAUGCACGAUAAUCUUUUCAGCAGAUAUGAUCACUUGACAUUAGGGCUGGCAAAUGAGCGAGCCGGCUCGCGUUCGACUCGAUAUUUGGCUCACUCGAGCUCGACUCGAAAUUAAAUGAGCCGAGCUUGAACAAAAAAAAAGGCUUGAAAUUCAUUUCAAGCCGAGCAUGAGUAUUACUCGGCUCGUUCGAAUUAGGCUCGAAAAGCUUGAAUAUAUAUAUAUAUAUAGUAGAGCUACUAUGCUAUCGAAAGUAUAGAGGGUCCGGUGCUUUCGAUUUUUUGAUUCUUAGAUCAACCUCUUUAAUCAAUUCUUAUUUUUGGAUUAAUAUUAUUAUAUUACCUUGUAGGGACCACUCAAUCCUAGGGAUAUUAUUUAAUCCUAGGGGGACCGCAAUCAUCCCAACCAUACAAUUCUUAAUCAAAGGGUUAAAAAUUCGAAAACAUCAAAUCCUCUCUAUAUAUAUAAUUAUUUAUUAAAAAAAUAUAUAUUUUAAUUAUAUAUACGCUGAGUGAAUAAUCUGAGUUUAGUUAAAAUUGGGCCAAUGUUGUUGGCCCAUAAAAACAAACUCAAUAGACAAAUAAAAGAACAAAAUUUCACUAAAUUUAUACAUUUUUCCUUUCUUUCUUUUUCUCACCGAGCUCUAAAUUUUUAAUAUAUUUCUCUCUUUCUCUUUUUCUGUCUUUCACCCUAAGUGGCCAAGCCAGAAGCCCUCCAAGUUCAAGUAACAGCAUAUGCCCGCCGUUGCCUACCUUACUAUUAAUUGUAUGCUUGAGAAAAUAUACAUAAUAUUUUUAAAGUAAAAAAUUAUUACUCAUAUAAAAUUUUAAUUUUAGUUAUAUAUGAUUGGAUAGUUUAAUCCAAUAUUUAUCUAUAUAAUUUAAUUAUUUUUGACUGCAUAAAUGAAAACUAAUAAUAUGGAGAUUGAAGGCGGAAGAAAAGACAUGUGAGGCUAAAAAGAUUAGAUAUUCAACUCAUUUUUUUUUUCAUAUUAUAAUACUAUAUUUCAUAUAAUUAUUUUGUACUUUGAACUAUUAGACAUAUUUUUGUAUCAAAUUAUAGAUAAUGUUCUAUACAAAUUAAACUAUUGAUCGUAUGAUGUUGAGAAUUUCAAGCGGCUCGUUUAGGGCUCGAGCUCGCUCGACUCGAAAUUAGGCUCGCUCAAGCUCGGCUCGAAUUAAUUUCAAUCCAAGCUUGAACUUAAAUUUAGGCUCGAAAUUAAUUUCAAGCCGAAUUUGAGCCGAGGUAAGCUCGCUCGAGCUCGGCUCGUUUCCACCCCUACUUGACAUACACAGUGGUCAUACAUUUUUAUGUUUUGAACGUAAUGAAUCCAGACAUUAGACAAAUAUAGGAAAUAAUUUCUGGUUCAUUGUAAUUUUAGUUGCUUGGAUGAUGGUAGUCCAAUGGUUAGCACUCAAAAAGAAGGUCUUUCUCAAAUACUUUGACAAAAUACGAUCAGCGCGAUGAGAGAAAGAUCAAGUAUUGAAUGGAACUUGAAAGAGAGUUUGUUGCACUUACAAUAGCAAGGAAUCCACAAAAAUCACCGGGCAUUUGGUCGAACUAAAGAUCAGAUCGUACCUAUAUAUAGGCUUAGAUCUCCGCAAUUCAGCUGUAAUCACAUUUUCUAAACUGCAUUUCGAUCAUAGCACAUCCAAUGCUGCUUUUUUUUCCCAAUUGAUAAUACAUUGCCUAAUUGGGCGUGAGAUUAUUGUGUCAUAUUACACUUCAAGGGUUAAGCAAGAAAUAUGCUUGACACUUCAAAUUUCUUCUUUUGUUUUGCCUAUUGGCCGUUUGUUCAUGCCAUCAUGAACUCUCAAUUAGUAGGUAAUACCGAUUCACACACACCCUGAAUCAGCAAUUAUUAACUCAUUUGUCUAAGCAUUUCUACAUCAAUAGAAAGUCACGAAUUUUGGGGAUCAUUCUUAGCUACAUAUGCUAAACUUGCUAUGUUUAGGCCAACUACUAAAAAUAGUUAAAUACAGAGGUUUAAAACAAACACAUUUCUUCCUUGUUUUAUCUUGAUUGGACACUGAGUUCCAAAGAAGUAGAUGUCACGAUGUCAACUGGUCAUAGAGGUUCCUCAAUGAUUAUGAAGAAUAUUGUGAGCUUUCAGCUGUAAUGAAGUUGACCCUGUAUUUUUGAUAAACAGUUCGGCACGAUGAUUUCUUCUAAUUGGACUCCUAAAUGCAUUAGAGUUUAGGGCGUGUUUGGUUCGCUCCUUUUUCACCAUGGAAUCGGAAUCGGAAUGGGUGACUCCGUUUGUGGGUGUUUGGGAUGCGGGAGUUUCAUUCCGAUUCCGAUUCCCGAGUGGAAUGGGAAUCCCCUAAACACCUCUUUUCCCAAUCCGGCCUAAGAGGCUGGAUUGGAAGUUGAAUCCGGACGGAAUGGGAAUUUAUUUGGAUUAAAUUAAAAUUUUCAGCUUUUUUAAUUAAAAUAUGAGUUUAAAUUUAGAAAUUAAAUUUAUAAUUUUAAAUUUUAAUUUUAAUUUGAAUUAAAAAUUAAAAUGUAAUCAAGAAUUUUGAAUCUAACUUAUAAUUUUGUAUUUAAGUUAAAUUUUAAUUUAUAUAAAGUUUUAUUCUAAUUUUAUUUAAAACUUAAGUUAAAUUUAUGGAUUCAAAUUAAAAUUUAAAUUGUAAUUUUAAGUUUGAAUUUGAAUAAAUUGAAGUUUAGUUUUAUAUUUUGAAUUAUCCACUCAACUUCAAAGUUUAAUUUUUUUUUAAAAGAAAUAGAUUUAAAACUUUGACAUUAUUUCAAAAUUUUGAUGUAAAUUUUUAAUAUUUAAUUUUCAGUUUGAAUUUAAAUUAAUAUAUUAUAAAGAUAAAGUUAGUAUAUUAAUUUGAUUAUGUUUUUUAUAUCUACCUGAACCAAACACCGAUAAUGGGAAUGAUUUAUUCCGAUUCCGAUUCAGAUAACGAACCAAAUAGAAUUAGGUAAUGAGUCAUUCCGAUUCCGAUUCCAGCUUAUUUCGAUUCCGAUUCUUAUUCCAAUUCUGACUUCAAACCAAACGCGCCCUUAAUGUAAUUCAACCCAAAGGUUUGAAAAGAUGAUUUGAACUAAAGGGCAACCAUAUGCACACGGCUUCUACUAUUCUAAGGCUUGGAAGGAGUAAAAUAUGCAACAACUUUGCUGCCAUAGAGAGGGUGAUUAGCACUCUUAAUCCCAAGCUACAAUGUAGUGACUUCUAGGUCAAAUGAGAUCCAGAAGAUCUAACAUGGAAUAUAGUACUGUAAACUUGAAUACUUCUGCGAGUGCAGAGUGCACCAAGUUGUACAGCAUUCAAUGGAUGGUUUCGGAGUAAAUAACUUGAUGCUCGCUGUUCACAACUUUGUAAUUCCUUUUAACUGGGUGAAAUAAAAUGGUCAAAAUCAACUGUUUAUUUUAAAACUGAGUAAGUCGUGAAAAGGGAUAUCGGGUCAAAACCCUACACUAGUAACCUUACAUUACAGGCAUCAAGGGACCUAGUAACACAAUUUGAUUGAACCCAAAUUCCAUGUUUGGGGAAAAUCAAUAAUAUAUAUAGAUAAUCUACACUUCCAGUUCUUUAUUAUAGCAGAAACUAUUGCUUAGGCAAUAGGCGGCAUCUAUUAGACCAGACUGGACCAACAAAAGCAAAGGACACACAAAUUGUAGUUUUCUAACCAUAAGACACAGUCUACACUAGCAAAAAGACCAAAUACUUCAUAUCCAUUAGUCUUAAUUCUUAAAUCAUUGAUAGAAUAUAAAUUUCACAACUACCUAUUAUUAGUAGGCCCAAUAUACAUUGGCAAUGAAUUAUAACUGCAGUGCUCCUAGGAGGACUAGAAUAAUUUGUCAACGCACAUACAUGACUAAGUAUUAUGUUUCUAAAACAUAUUACAAGCCUGCUAUUAAAGGAGAAAAUAACUUUUCCAACAAUUACACAUUUUCCAUUUUAAUAGGCUAAAUAACAAAAGGACACCUUGCAGUUUAGCCUUUGUCUCAGUUACUUCCAAAUAUUAAAAAAUGGCAUCAAAUGCAACUUGCACUCUGCCAAAUGUCUCAAAUAGGCCCAAAAAUUUCAGAUGAUUGUUGAAUUAGAAUGUAAAACUUCAUGGAAAAAAAACUUUAGCAAGAAAGGAGCAGAAAUACAUGAGUCAAAUAAACACUCCAACAAACUGCUAAUUUUGGGGGCUCCCACCAAAAAGGGGAUUACUUUUAUCUAGUUUUAGAUCUAUAAAUUAAGCUUCAACUUCAAUAGAAUUUAGAUACAGAACCAACAUGAAAUGCUUGCCAAUCUUCAUGAAGUUUUGCAUCUAAAGUUGACAACUAUACCAAAUUUUGUGGCCUAUUGGAGACAAUGGCAUAGAAAAGGUUGAAAUUGAUGCAAAUUUUUAUGUAGGGACCCAGCAAUUGAUAUGGAGGAUAAGGAGCAAGAGGGAGCCAUAAAAUUUAGCCUUUUAAUAGAUGAAAAGUCCAAACUACGACCUUUAUCGUUGAUGUGAAUCACGGAGAGUGUGUUGAUAAUUUAUGAAGCUUGAGAAGGUCCUUAUACCUAUUCUUCUUUAUGCCAAAUCACUUUCUUGAUAUUUGUGGCAAGGUAGAGUUAUUGUAAUGACUCUCUCUGCCUAAUGUCAUUCUGUCAAUAAGAUCAAUCUUAGAUUUAAUAACAACCCUUGAACACAAAUAGCCAAGAACAUCCAGGUUCAUUCCAACAUAUACCUAGCCGCCCGAAUGAACAUGUUUCAUUGCGCAAUCAACCAAACUGAACUUUUGUAUUCGACCGAAGUAAUUUGCAAAACAAGAUAACAACAACCUAGUGAUCCAUAUGAAUUCAGAUUCCCCAAACAGAUCAGAUCAGAUCAGAUCGGAUCAGAUCAAACCGAAAAGACCUACCUUAUUCUUGUCGAUCCUCUUGACAGCCACGCGCUCCCCGUUGGAGUUGUCGGUGGCGACGAAGGUGUAACCGAACUGGCCGUGGCCGAGGAGCUUCCCGAUCGAAUACCUGGCGUCGAAAUCCUUGGCGUAGCCGAAUUCGGUGCGUUUACCGCAGGGCAGCGGGCCGCUCGGCCUCUUCCUGUGCCCCUUCUCCCUCUCGUACGGCUUCUCCUCCGGAUGCUCCGAUCGCUCCCGAGGCUUUGGCGGCGGCGCGGGCACGCGAUGGGCGCCGGAGGAGGUGCUGCUGACGUGACUGCUGCCGCUGCUGGUGGAGCCGCUGACCUUGGUGGCGACGGAAAAGCAGGAGCCCAUCCUCGUCUCCGCUUCGGCUUCUUCCCUUAAUUAGGGGAUUGGGGGAGAGAACCAUCAAUAAACAAAAAAUGAGAAUUUGGGGGGGGGAAGGGUGACGCGACCAGAUGUUUAAUAGGAGGGAGAUGGUGGGGAGCGGUGGUGAGAAUUGGGCAAAGAAGAACAGCUAUAGCGAUGGGGCCUCCUUCCUUUCGAAAGGGAAUAGAGAAGGUGGAGAGAAGGUUUGAGGAAGACGGUGGGAAAGAAAGAAACCGGUCAAAAGAGACGACUUCCUCUCCUUCGUGUGUUGAAGAGAACCAGACAGACGAGAUUAAAAGUGAGAGAGAGACAGGGAGAGAUGGUGGUGGGUAACGGAGGGUUCGGGUUUGAACGGUAAACGCCCUCCGUCCCGCUCUCCCACUCUCCCACGCUCCCUUUCUCCCUCCUUCCUUUCUCGUUCUUCGUUUUCUUCUUUCGCGUGUGACUGGAUCUCCUGAAUAAACAAAAGUUAUCUACCGCGCUUGCUUGCUAAGUCAAGAUUGGAAAUAAUGGAGCGGACUUUCCUUUUUAAAUAAACUUAUAAAAUUUUUUAAUUGGCUACGUAACUUUUUUUUUCUUAAAAAUUUAUUUGGCCGAAUAGUUCUCUUCUUACCAACUAACUUUUUUUUAAAUUUAUUUGGCCAUCCAAUAGUUCUCUUCUUAUCGAUCAACUCAAUGCCAUAGUAAAUAAAAUUGCACUGUAUUUAAAAAGACGAUAAAUUAUUCACCAUCUUCUAAAUUUUUAAUUAAAGAAGUAAAUUAUUCACCGUCAUUCAUAAACUAGUAAACCAUUCACCGUUUUCAAGAUUACUCUACCACAUUCAUUAUAUUAUUAACUUACAAACUUAAUUGGAACGUGAGGUGGCGGGGAUAGAAAGAAAUUAAGCCAACGAAUAAUUUGCCGUUUUUAUGUGAUAGUGAAUGAUUCACAGUCUACUUACUCCACAUUCCUUUUACGACAUAUUUCAACAACAACUAGAUUUUCAACAAUACGGGACUUUUGAGAAUAAUAUCAACAAAGAAAAUUCGGCAGAAUUAGAUUUUUCAACAAUAUAGAACUUUUGGGAAGAAUAUCUGUCACGCCCCGGGGUCGAGGAUUCCUCGGGCUCGCCAACAGAUCCACCGCGUACACAGGAAGCCUUGUGUACACGAAGCGAUAGAAGCACCUGCAACAAUACAUGAAACACUACAAGAGAGUAACAGAGCAACUAAAACAGAAAUAAAUAGUCACAUGUACAUAUAUGUAAUCCAAGGUGUAAUAUGUUGAAACUUUAUUAGAAACUAAGACUGUACCUUCUGCCAUAAUUUCAAUUUCUGUACCCAAUCUGUAGGCGGCGAUUUUUGCUCGUGGUUCGCCCUCGUUCAUGAUCUGCAAGAUAGCGGGACGUUUCGAGUCUAAUUCCGUUAUCCCCGGAGAUGAACCCAUCACAGAAAAUUUGAUUAGGGUAAGACCGGGACUCCCGUAUGUUAUAUUUAUAUACAACUUAAUGUAAAGAUGUUAAAUCAUGUCCGUCCAUCAAGGACGUGUCCAGAUACAUCCUAACCGUUAGAUCUUCCGUAACUAUAGAUUGACUUGAAUAGAUCGACUGUAUUUUUAUAAAUCGCCUUGAAUAAAUCACGUGGGCCACAUCCAACAUUCUCCCACUUGGCCAGUGAUAUAUUCAUAUAGGCGACACAAAAACUUUAUUAGGUACCAACUAAUUACACAGUCGAAAUCUCCCACUUGACCAAAAAAUUACAAUACUUUGAUUAUAGCGGUUAUGUCCCAAAAGAUAAACACUCUCUUCCAUAUAUCAAAAGCACAUAUUCCUUAAUUAAAUAACUUUAUGAGUUACAACCGUAUGAACUUAUUAUAAGUUCAACUCAGAAUCCCACUUUAGUGCACAAUAAUACUUUAAUGUAUAAAAAAUAACUUUAUGCGCAUAUGUACAAAAACCAAAAUAUGUUCUUAUUUAAUAAGAAUAAUCUUUAAAGUCUUUAUACAAGAAGAAACCACUUAAACUGUAAAUGGACUCAAGAUACCCAUAUGAUGAAUAUGAUCCUUGAACUUGUUUGUCGGCAUGAUGAAUAUGAUCCUUGAACUUGUUUGCCGGCAAUGCUUUAAUCAUAGAAUCAGCAAUCAUCAUCUCAGUCCUAAUGUGUUGGAUAUCCACAUUUUUCUUGUCAUAUUCUUUCACAGCAAGAUACUUUAUAUCAAUAUGUUUGUUGCGAUCUGUAAUUUGACUAUUCUUGGCAACACUACAAGAAAAACCAUUUUUAAUGGCCGUCAAAAUGGCCAGCAAAAGUAGUGCAAAAUGCCAGCAAAGAUUAAUGCUGGCAGUUUAUAAAUUGCCUCGCAAGCAACUGUCGACAAAAGAAAAGAGCCAGCAAAACAAUCUUUUACUGACAGUUUGAAGUGCCAAAAAAACUAUUUAUCAUGGCAAUUUAAAUGUGUCACGCCCCGGGACCCAGCGGAAGCCCGCCCGGCGCGUGCCCAGACCCGCCAUACGUCUAAAACAUAUAAGGCGUCUAAAACAACGAUAAUUAAAGCAAUAAUAAAAGGCAUUUAGGAGUAUCAGAGCAUGAUAUAAUACUAAGUUCUACAAUAGAGAAAGGAGCAUAAAGCUGGAAUCCACUAAUAAAAGCAUAAAGUAAUACAAAGAAAAUCCCAAAUAUAAGUGCUAAAAGUAGAUACAUAGGUGGUCUCUAUACAUGGAUACAAAAUCUCUCACUCUCUCAACUACAAAAAGAAAGACCAAACCACCUAGGCAAAGAACCGCUCCUCGCUAGCUAGCUAUGCGAUCCCCUUGCCGCGAUCCCGUGCCUCCGCCGGUGCAGAAGGCUCUGAAAGAAACCACAAAAAAGAGGGCGUGAGAACUAUUAAAAAUAGUUCCCAGUGGGCAAUUACUGACUUCAGUGAAUGCACCACAAGGCCCAAAGCUACAAANAUGGGAGCUAGAGUCCUUCCAAUCAAACCUAAACAAAGGUUCUAAACCCAUCAAUUUGGUUCCAAAGCCCUCAAAUCGAAAAUCCCCAAAUCUAGCCCUAGAAUUCAAAAUCUAGGGUUUCCAAAAAGGAAAACUACCAAAACAUGCUCUAAAGGAGAGAUCAUGAGUACUCACCUCACAAGACGUCCCAAACCAAGCUCCAAGCCAAGUGGAGUUGAAGAUCUCCUCUCAAACGAGCUCCUCUCCAAGCUCCAAGCCUUCAACAAUGGAGGAAACCCAACAAAAAGCAAGGUGGAGAAGAGAGGAGAGAUCAAAACCAAUCAAAAUCCAUCAAACAUGGAGAAGAAAUCAAAGGGAACUCCCCUUACCUUGCACUCCACAGAACUAGGGCUCAAAACCCUGUCUAAGGGGGCUGGGGUCACUUAUAUAGGGGUUGCAACAAUUGCAAAAACACCCCUCCACGAAAACAGCCCACUCUGCACUGUGUACCAGUACAUGGGUUUGUGUACCGGUACACCACCCACGAAAAGCCAAACCCGAGCCUCGGGUUUGCUGGGAAAUAGCCUGUGUACCGGUACACGAUCCCGUACCGGUACAGCCAUCAACCCCGUACCGGUACAGCAAGCGAACCCGUACCGAUACACAGCCUGCUGAAGGCUACCCGAGAGCUGACCAAAAAUUCAACUUUUUGGAUUUUGGUGCUCAGCUUAAAACCUCCAUUCUCGGGACUCGAAUCAUAGGUCGGAACACAGUCAACGACCUACCAGAAAGUCUGGAAAAGUUCA